AAAGCUAAGCUUUAAUACAACUGUCACAUAAACUUAACAUUAACCAAGAUAACUAAACAAAGACCAAUAAACCUUGAAAAUGAGGUCAAGGUCAGAUGAACCAUGCCAGGCAGACAUGUACAGCUAACAAUGCUUCUAUACAACAUAUAUAGUUGACCUAUUACUUAUAGUUUAAGAAAAAUAGACCAAAACACAACAAGAGUGCACACGCUGAAAUGUCUCGCCUUCUAUACUAAUCAUUGAUAUUAUGUUGAUAGUCCUAAGUAUAAAGUUAAGCUUUAUAACAACUGUCACAUAAACUUAACAUUAACCAAGAUAACUAAACAAAGACCAAUGAACCUUGAAAAUGAGGUCAAGGUCAGAUGAACCAUGCCAGGCAGACAUGUACAGCUAACAAUGCUUCUAUACAACAUAUAUAGUUGACCUAUUACUUAUAGUUUAAGAAAAAAGACCAAAAACAAAACUUAACACUGUGCAAUGAACCGUGAAAAUGAGGUCAAGGUCAAAUAAAACCUGCGCGACUGACAUAAAGAUUAUAAAAUAUUUCCAUACAACAAAUAUAGUUGACCUAUAGCAUAGAGUAUUAGAUAAAAAGACCAAAACUCAAAAACUUAACAUUGACUACUGAACCAUGAAAAUGAGGUCAAGGUCACAUGACAUCUGCCCGCUAGACAUGUACACCUUACAAUCAUUCCAUACAACAAAUAUAGUAGACCUAUUGCGUAUAGUAUGAGAAAAACAGACCAAAACACAAAAAAUUUAACUAUAACCACUGAACCAUGAAAAUGAGGUCAAGGUCAGAUGACACCUGUCAGUUGGACAUGUACACCUUACAGUCCUUCCAUACACCGAAUAUACCCUAUUGCUUAUAGUAUCUGAGAUAUGGACUUGACCACCAAAACUUAACCUUGUUCACUGAUCCAUGAAAUGAGGUCGAGGUCAAGUGAAAACUGUCUGACAGACAUGAGGACCUUGCAAGGUAUGCACAUAUGAAAUUAUCCUAUUACUUAUAAUAAGAGAGAAUUCAACAUUACAAAAAAUCUGAACUUUUUUUUCAAUUAUCACUGAACCAUGAAAAUGAGGUCAAGGACAUUGGACAUGUGACUGACGGAAACUUCGUAACAUGAGGCAUCUAUAUACAAAGUAUGAAGCAUCCAGGUCUUCCACCUUCUAAAAUAUAAAGCUUUUAAGAAGUUAGCUAACACCGCCGCCAUAGCCGCCGCCGUAGCCGCCGCCACCGGAUCACUAUCCCUAUGUCGAGCUUUCUGCAACAAAAGUUGCAGGCUCGACAAAAACCAAUUAACCACAAAAACUUAUCAUUGACCAAUGAACUAUGAAAAUGAGGUCAUGGUCAAAUGAUACCUACCAGACAGACAUAUAAACAUUACAAUCAUUCUAUACACCAAACAUAGUUGACCUUUUGCUGAUAUUUUAAGAAAAACAGACAGCACAAAAACUUAACGGGGGCCUAGGUGGCCGAGUGGUCUAAAUAGUUACUUCUGUUAUCACUAGCCAGUCAACACUAAGGUGUGAGUUUGAACCCCUCUAGUGCAGGUACACUCGACUCCAAUCUUAAUUGACUAGAAUUGUCAGUUUUCCUACCAAAGGUCAGUAGUUUUUUCUAGGGACUCCGGCUUCCUCCACCAAUAAAAACUGGCACUUAAAAGUGGCGUUAAAACACAGAAAAAUCAAAUCAAAUCAAAUCAAAAACUUACCAUUGAACAAUGAACCAUGGAAUGAAUAAAACCUGCCAGACUGACAUGUACAUUAUAAAAUAUUUCUAUACUCCAAAUAUAGGUGACCUAUUGCAUACAGUAUAAGAAAAAGAGACCAAAACACAAAAACAACCUUUAACCACUUAACCAUGUAAAUUAGGUCAAUGUCAGAUGACACCUGCCAGUUGGACAUAGACACUUUAGACUCAUUCUGUACACCAAAAAUAGCAGACCUAUUGCUUAUAGUAUCUGAGAUAUGCACUUUCCCACAUAAGCUUAAACUUGUUCACUGAUCCAUGAAAUGGGGUCCAGCUCCGUUGGUAAAAAUGAAUUUCAUAGUGUAAUAACCUUUUGGGUAGUGAAAUAUGAUAAGAGAAUUUAUGAAAAAUAUAUCAGCUAUCAACCAAUAAAAAUCAUGGAAAAUAAGAUGAAGUGUAAUUAUAAAAUCAAUACAAUAUAAGCUAGAUCAAGAGUGGUAAAUGAAAACCAUGAUAUUUUCCAUUUAAGUUCUCUUAUAACCUUAAUCCACAGUGACCUUGAAGAUGAGUACCACACAGUUCUUUUCUAAUUAUCCUUAUACAACUUAUAGCAUGUGAAAUAUACCCACAUGUCCAGUUAUAAGAGGAUUAAUCUGUAAAUCAUACUAUUUAUAUCUAAUUCUUGUAGUACUUACUGUCAGUGUGAUGAUUUUAUCAAAUAGCAUUGCAGGAGCCAUGUGAAAGUCAAAUACAAAAUACUGCAAUUAUAAAAGAAGUACAUUUAUAAAUAGUCAAAGGCAUUAAAAACAUUUACUUCAAACAUAUGCUUUUUUAAAAGAAGACCUUCACUAAGUUCACUUUGUAAGUUUGCUUUGUGACUUUAAUUAUUAUAGUAUCUAUGGUGAUAUAUUUUAUGGCUUUGUCUAGUUUAUUUCAUUAUCAAAGUACAUAUGUGGGAGGCAAAUAUGAAAUGUUAACCCUGGUAACACUCUCAAAGAAGAUUUUUUCAAUUCAACUACAAUUCACCAAAUCUUAGGACAACAAUCCUCGUGUAUUGUUUCAGAGCUUGCUCAUUAUUGAAGGUAGUAUGAUAACUUUAAAAUGUAAAGUUUUGUUAACCUUGGGUUGUUAGAACUCUGUCAAAAAGAUAUUUACCCUGAAAGUGUUGUUACAAACUAAACUUUCCUAUUUUACAGUCUUUUCUGUUCCAGUUUUUUUUUUAUUUAUCAUUUGUCAUAUAUUUUCCUGGAUAUAGGACUUGAUAUAAAUUUGCAAUGAAACUUAAUCUACAUUGUUUGUAAAAGAGAAGCAAAGGAUACCAAAGGGACAUUCAAACUCUAAAGUCCAAUAUAAACUGACCAUGGCUUAAAAGGAAAGGAAAUUUAACAAAUGUCUUGAAUUCUGUGCUAUAUCUGAACUGUGUAAAUCAGUUAUAAGAAAAGUUUAUUUUAGUUUUCAAAAUGCCUUACUGAGCAAGGGAGACAAUCUAUUCUUACCUCGUUGUAAUAAGGACAGUUUGUAGAUUCUUUGACACUUGUGUAUUUUUUCUCAUUUCCUACUUGAACACACACGACAGGAUCCAUAUUUACACCAGCUAACUGCCGGGCUUCUAUAACUGUCACACAGAUCUAAAAUACAGUGUUAGAAAUUUGUUGAAACACCCUUUAAUAAGAGUUACUAAGACCAUAAUCAACCUUUAAAAUUUCACAUUUGAUUGAAGAUGAACAGUCAAUCAGAAGCUGUAUUCAGGACAAGAAAAUCUUAGCAAGAUAUGAUCUCAUUCUGUUUUCUUUUACACUUUUUGAGCAGGAAUUUUAUCCUGUUAUCUCAAUAUUCAAUGGUUACAGUAUCACAGACCCAAAAAGACAUCUAAACACAUAAAUAGGACUCCAACAUAGAUAACAACCAACUUUCAUGUUUUUGCUUGACUUUGCCUGGAAAUACACCAAAAAUAUUAAAGAAGAAUACUUACAUAAGGCCAUACAGACUUUGGUAUGUAACCAGGGAUGUCUUUGUCAUAAUUUAAUUUAUAAAUUAGGAUUACAAGAUAGAUCCUUUUGAAGCAUUGUUCAUGAUGAUCUUAAGAAACUUUAUUAUACUUGUUGAACUUUAGACAAUUUAUAUUUAACUGGAAAUGUUGAUCUAAUAAAGGAUUCCGAGAGCAAGCAAGAGUCAAAAUAUGCAAUCUUGAGUAGCAACUUCCAAGUAUUCUAAAAUAGCAAAUAUGAGAUCAUUCACCAUUGGAAAUAUAUACCUGAAAGUCCUGAGCUUUUAAAGAUGGGGGUUCAAUAUUAGGUGAUUUCCCUCUGUUUCUGCAAUUAAAAAAAUAAUGUUAUUAUAUUCUGAACAUAGAUUAGUUUAUCAUAACAUUCAGUGUAUCUUUUUUUAACAUUUGAUGCAAUUAUGGUAAUUCACAAUUCAUGUACAUGGAUUGAGCACUGUAGAAGCAGCUAAAUUUAUCUUUCUUCAAGAUCUUCUUUUUAAAAUGUCUGUAAAUUAAGAGAGUAUGGUACAUGUUCCAUUAUAGGACUAUCCUGUUUAUCAAUUAUUGGGACUUUUCCAGAAUUUUUUUUGUGUAAGACAAACAUUUGAUGUCUUUUUUUGUUGUGUUUUCUAAAUUCCAACCCAAUAUACAAAUACAUAAAGUUUUAUUGUCAAACCUGCUUGAGAAUGAUGAGACCACUAAGAGACUGCCUAUAUAAAGCAACCACAUGUAUGAUAAGACCACUUAUUUUAGGUCCAUCUUUGGGUACUUCAUAUAAUGUUACCUUCUCUGUGUAAUUGGUGUUGUGAUUGUUGAUGCACGACCAUCACUUGCAUUGUCAUCAUCCAUGUCUGACCUUCGACCCAGUAAUGAUGCCAUUUCUGCUGCCUUAGCAUCCAAACUGGUGUCUGAAAUAUGUAAGAACAGAUAACUGAAAGUUUAUGAUAGACUUAAUCCUUUAUAAAAUCAUUUUGUUCAGUGAACCUAACAUGCUUUUACUUCAGGAAGACAUUAUUAUAACAAGAUUAUUUUUAAAAAAAAAAUACACUAGCAGACAUUCAUAUGUUAACUCAUUCUCAUUGGUCAAUAUAACUAGAGGCUCUAAAGAGCCUGUGUCGCUCACCUUGGUCUAUGUGAAUAUUAAACAAUGGACACAGGUGGAUUCAUGACAAAAUUGUGUUUUGGUGAUGGUGAUGUGUUUGUAGAUCUUACUUUACUAAACAUUCUUGCUGCUUACAAUUAUCUCUAUCUAUAACAGUACUUUCUGUGGAAAAUGUUAUUGAAAAUCUUCAAAUUUUAAGAAAAUUGUUAAAAAUUGACUAUGAAGGGCAAUAACUCCUUAGGGGGUCAAUUGACUAUUUUGGUCAUACUGACUUAUUUUUAGUUCUUACUUUGCUGUACAUUAUUGCUGUUUACAGUUUAUCUCUAUCUAUAAUAAUAUUCAAGAUAAUAACAAAAAAACAGCAAAAUUUCCUCAAAAUUACCAAUUCAGGGGCAGCAACCUAACAACCGAUUAUCCGAUUCAUCUGAAAAUUCCAGGGCAGAUAGAUCGUGACCUGAUCAACAAUUUUAUUUCCUGUCAGAUUUGCUCUAAUGCUUUGGUUUUUGAGUGAUAAGCCAAAAACUGCAUUUUACCCCUAUGUUCUAUUUUUAGCCAUGGCGGCCAUCUUGGUUUGUUGGCCGAGUUACUGGACACAUUUUUUUAACCAGAUACCCCAAUGACGAUUAUGGCUAAGUUUGGUUAAAUUUGGCCCAGUAGUUUCAGAGGAGAAGAUUACUAAGAUUUACAAACUAGAGGCUCUAAAGAGCCUGUGUCGCUCACCUUGGUCUAUGUGAAUAUUAAACAAAGGACACACUGUCUGAUGGAUUCAAGACAAACUUGUGGUUUGGCGAUGGUGAUGUGUUUGUAGAUCUUACUUUACUGAACAUUCUUGCUGCUUACAAUUAUCUCUAUCUAUAAUGAACUUGGCCCAGUAGUUACAGUGGAAAAUGUUAGUAAAAUUUUACAAAUUUUGUGAAAAUUGUUAAAAAAUGACUAUAUAAAGGGCAAUAACUCCUUAGGGGGUCAAUUGACCAUUUUGGUCAUGUUGACUUCUUUUCAGGUCUUACUUUGCUGUACAUUAUUGCUGUUUACAGUUUAUCUCUAUCUAUAAUAAUAUUCAAGAUAAUAACCAAAAACAGCAAAAUUUCCUUAAAAUUACCAUUUCAGGGGCAGCAACCCAACAACGAAAUGUCCGAUUCAUCUGAAAAUUUCAAGGCAGAUAGAUCUUGACCUGAUAAACAAUAUUACCCCCAUGUCAGAUUUGCUCUAAAUGCUUUGGUUUUUGAGUUAUAAGCCAAAAACUGCAUUUUACCCUUAUGUUCUAUUUUUAGCCAUGGCGACCAUCUUGGUUGGUUGGCCAGGUCACCGGACACAUUUUUUAAACUAGAUACCCCAAUGAUGAUUGUGGAUAAGUUUGGUUUAAUUUGGCCCAGCAGUUUCAGAGGAGAAGAUUUUUGCAAAAGUUAACGACGCCGGACGCCGAACACAAAGUGAUGGGAAAAGCUCACUUGGCCCUUCGGGCCAGGUGAACUAAAAAAUAAGAUGAGAUAUGAUUGCCAAUGAGACAACUCUCCACAAGAGACCAAAAUGACACAGUAAUUAACAACUAUAGAUCACCAUACUGCCUUCAACAAUGAGCAAAGCCCAUACCACAUAGUCAGCUAUAAAAGGCCCCGAAAUGACAAUAUAAAACAAUUCAAAUGAGAAAACUAACAGCCUUAUUCGUUUUCAAUUUCGUAAAGAUCUAUUAUAAGUUGAAAGGUUUUCAAAUUAUUUCAACUCAGGUUAAUCAGGGGGUUCAUGUUAUUUUUAGAAACCAAAUAUUUGUGUUUAUAGUCUUUGUCUCAAUACCAGAAGAACAGUUAGAAAAUUGGUUAAUGAAUGAUAAAUACCUUCCAGUUCAGGUUCAGGUUCCAGUAAAGAUAUUUUAUCAUCUAAGACUCCAGAAGGUCGUCUGUUCACAGUCAUCAUCAUCUGUACUGCUGACUUAAACACUUUCGAACUAAAAAAGAACAACAUUCAAAUAUGGAAAAAAGCUAGAUUUAUAAUCAGUCAUCUAAUUAUAAUCAGUCAUCUAACAACUAUGAUUGAAGAAGUAAGAAAAGCCUACAAAUAAGAUUAAAACUGCAAAAUUGUUAAUUGUGUUUCUUUUUGCCCAACGUACCCUUACCACUAUAUAUAAGCUUGUUUUUAAGGUAAAGGUCAUAUGACAUAUGUCAGGCAAACAUACUUCCUGCAACAAAUCUACAUAUACAAUUUAUCAACUUAUCAUGUAUUGUCACUUGGGAACAGACUUCAAUCUGAAAAGUCAUCCUGAUCACUGUUGCUGGAAAUUAAGGUCAAACCAAUAUGUACCACUGACCAGUGUUUGGUCAUUUAUUUGAAGUCUUGCUUGAAAAUGUCACAAUGUAUUGUUGGGUUGAUGUCUCAUUGAAGAUUAGUCAAAAUCUCAAAUUAUUCAUACUUAAAAUUCCCUAAAUGAACACUUUAAAAACACUAAAUAAAGAAGAAUAUGAAUUUCAAUAAUGGAAAAAAUAAAGUAAUUUUUAUUGGCAAUUACUGUAUUCAAAUAGAACAAAACAUUUGUUUUAAAGAAGAUCCUUUCAAUACUUUCUGACAAAUUCAAGCUUUUUGUUUUAGACGUAGCAUAAUAAACAUUGCCAAGUACAAAUUGAUCUAUAAAGACAGAUUGACUUUAGCACUUUGUACACAUUGCAGCCAGUAAAUGAAGAUAAAUGGUUUCAAAACAAUGCUUAUUUUAGCUUAAAUUGAUCAAGAAGUCUCUAAUUAAACCAUGAAAUAUUACCCAUAGGAACUGUUUUUAAAUAAAUCUAAUUAAAACUGCAAUAAUUUUCUUUUUUAGAUUUGAUAUGUCACAUGGGAAAGUCUAUACUAAAAAUUUACAAUAUAUAUUAAAUCUUUUUAAUACAUUUUUUGUGCCAGUCCCAAAUUAGGUCGGUCAGUGUCUGCCUUAUUGGAUUUUUGUUUUAUCAUGUAGCAGGCCUUAGGUUUUCUCUUUUGAGUUGACUAUAUGAUGUGGGUUCUGGUCAUUGUUGAAGGCUGUACAAUGCCCAAUGGAUCUGUGUGUUCUGGUCAUUGUUGAAGGCUGUACAGUGCCAAAUGGAUCAGAAUGGAUCUGUAGUCUCUGGUUGAUAGUUGUCUCAUUGACAAUCAGAUCAUAUCUACUUAUCUUUAUAUUCAAUCAUUUACAUUCCAUACUUCAUUUAUCGCCUGCUUAAAUCGUUUUCUGGAGAUCAUUUUCAAGAAAUUUAAUAACAUGGCACAACAUUUACUAUGCUUACAGGUACCAAGAACAGGCUUAAAUGACUGUAUUUGUUUAUAUUAAAAAUAUGUGAUCUUUAACACAAAUAUCUAUCAUGAGAUAUAAAGAACAAAUAUCUAAUCUUUUACCUAGGAUGCUGUAAUAGCAUACCAACUAAAUGUAAAAUUUUAUUUCACCGGUGAGUAUUUCUUAACUGAAAGACAUUUUCUUUGAACAAACCUUAAACAAAAAAGACCCACAUCAAUAUAUGGAACAGAGUAUCAUAAUAUUAUAUGAGGAACUGAAAUCAAAAGAAACCAACAAUUAAGAAAACAAAUGAAUUUUGCGAAUUUCUUCAAACAAAUAGAAACCAAUAUAAAGUUUUGAAAAUAACCUCCCCUAAAAAUAUUUGAGUUUUAUCAAACUAAUGGAUAGCCCUUUGGGUCUUAGAUAAAAAAAAAUUUGUAUUGAUUUAAAAAAAAGCUAGAUGAAUUACUUUUCAUUUAUGUGUAGAUAGAAACUUUAUUGGUAAUGAAUUUGUCAGGUUUCAUGUAAACUAUAUAUUGCCUGUCCCAAGUCAGGAGCCUCUGGCCUUUGUUAGUCUUGUAUUAUUUUAACUUUCAGUUUCUUGUGUACAAUUUGGAGUUUAGUAUGGCGUUCAUUAUCACUGAACCAGUAUAUAUUUGUUUAGGGGCCAGCUGAAGGACGCCUCAGGGUGCGGGAAUUUCUUGUUGCAUUGAAGACCUGUUGGUGACCUUCUGCUGUUGUCUGCUCUAUGGUCGAUUUGUUGUCUCUUUGGCACAUUCCCCAUUUCCAUUCUCAAUUUUAUGUUACAAUGUAUCUGUUUUUUAAAGUUAUUUGGAAGGUAAAUUAUAUUAGAUUAUACCUUGUACUUAGUAAAGGACUCACUGCAAAAUUUGAGAUGAAGAACAGGAAUAAAAGUGCUGAUUUUUGUUUGUUUUGGAAAGUGUGAAGUGAUUUUGUGUCAUGAUUUCAUACAUGGCAUUUGUUAGUCUUUUAUUGUUUUAAAAAUUUUAGUUUAUCUGUAUGUUUAGGAGUUUAGAGUGACAUCAAGUUUCACUGAACUAGUACACAUUUGUAUUUAGGGACCAGCUGAAGCACGCCUCUGGAUGCUGGAUUUUCUUGUAUGUUGAAUAUGAAAAAGAAGAUGUGGUAUGAUUGCCAAUGAGACAACUGUUCUUAAGAGACCAAAAUUAACAACUAUAGGUCACCGUAUGGCCUUCAGCAAUGAGCAAAACCCAUACCACAUAGUCAGCUAUAAAAGGCCCUGAAAUGACAAUGUAAAACAAUUCAAACGAGAAAACUAACAGCCUAAUUUGUAUAAAAAAAUGAACGAAAAACAAAUACAGUAUGUAACACAUAAACAAGGACAACCACUGAAUUACAGGAUCCUGACUUGUGACAGGCACAUACAUACAUAAUGUGGCGGGGUUAAACAUGUUAACUGGAUCCCAACUCUCUCCCUAACCUGGGACAGUGGUAUAACAGUACAAUAUGAAACCCAUUGGUAGCCUUGGGCUGUUUUCUCCUGUUUGGUUGGGUUGUUGUCUCUUUAACACAAUCCCCAUUUCCGUUCUCAAUUUUACCAUACCCUUUCUUUCACAUUAAUGACCCAAUUAUCUUUCUCCAGAAAAGAGAUAAUAUCACCAGAGUAAGGAGAAAGUAGUUACAAAAUGUUUCCUUUUAAAAAUGAAAUUGGUAAUUAUCAUACUGCACUCUUCACACAAAUUGAUGGUUUGGUAGAGAAAAUAACAAACAUAAAUAUCCCUUUUCUAAAAAACAAGGAAAAAUACUUAAAAAAUGACAGAUAGUCAAAUUACCAUAAAGCAAUUAUUGUAACGAUUUCAAAGUGACAAAACUCCUCUAAAGACACAUCAAUAAUGUCAGGUUUUAUAAUUUAAAGCAAAAAAUCAAUAGUUUUCAAAUGUUAUAAAAGAAAAAUAGUUAAAAUUCAGUUAAUUAUUCUCAAAAUAAGAAUGAAUGUCUUUCUAAAGAUUAUUGAAGUCUGUGUUAUGUAAUACACAAGUUAUCAAAGCUCAAUUUUCUCUCCUGAAUGAUAUUUAUAUAUUUUUGAUGUAUAGUUUCUAACACAAGGGCAUGUGUUGCUGUAAAUGGCUUCAAUGGCAUCAUAAUAUUCAUAAUGGCACAUGCUGGAUUCUUUAAUUUCAGAAAGACGUGAAAAGGGUACAAAGUAUCUAAACCCUGUCUCAAAAUUAGUUCAAAAACUAAUUUGGUAUGUAGUUGAAAUGACCUGCUAGCAAUCUUAUGUAAUAAAAGUGCAACAGAAAUUAAGUCCAGACAUAGAGAUGCAGCAUCAUGUGCAAGAUUGGUGUCUAAUUAUAAUGUAGUCUAGGAGACAUGAUAUUACUGUAAAUUACUUUGUGAAUUUAAAUGUUCCUGCUUUUUCCAGAAAAUAUCAAAUGUUUGUUGAUCAGGCUAUUUGCACCACAAAAACAAUGAUAUCAGCAUUUCUAGACUACUGAAAUACAUGACUUUGAUUAUCCAUCAAAUGUAUAACCAGAUGUUUCGCAGGGCGCAGCUUUAUAUGACCGCAGAGGUUGAACCCUGAAUGGUUGGGGCAAGUAUGGACACAACAUUCAAGCUGGAUUCAGCUCUAAAUUUGGAUUGUGAUGAAAUAGUUGACACAGCAUAGGUUUCUGACACAGAAUGAAUGUGGUCUAAUGAACUUAAAAUACUUUUUUUUCCUUUGAGCAAUUCACUAUGCUGUUGAAUAUUAAUCCUCUCAAAAAAAUGUUUGAAGAAAUUUUCUUUUUAUUUAUGAAAUCUGAAAUGAGAAAAAUUUAACCCCCCCCCCAUUUUUUUUCUCAUCCCCUUUCCUUUUUCCAAAACUGAUCUCAAUUCAAAAAUUUCUAAUGGAGUUUGCAACAAUAACUACUCAUUUAAAUACAUCAUAAAAUAUUAAAUGUAACAAAAGUGCUUGUUAUCACUGAAUGUAAAGAUUUGUUUUAAUUUAUCAGUUGGUAGUAAAAGUGAAUAUACAUUGUAUAUUGUAUAUAAAACAAUGAUUUAAGUUGAUUCAACUACUAUUCUGGAUAAAGAAAGAUAACUCCAAUCAAUUUAAAAUUUCUUGCUAUUGCACAAUAUUGUGCAAUUAGAUAUUUCUUGCUAUUGCUCAAUACUGUGCAAUUUGAAAAUAUUUGCUUUGCACAAUACUGGUGCAAUUGAAGAUUUGCUAUGCGCAUACCGUGCAAUUGAAAAUUUCUUGCUAUUGCACAUACUUAAUAUAAUAAUUUUUGGAUCUGAUUUGGACCAACUUGAAAACUGGGCCCAUAAUGUUUAGAUUCAGCAUAUCAAAAAAGCUCAAGAAUUCAAUUUUUGUUAAAAUCAAACUUAGUUUAAUUUUGGACCCUUUGGACUUUAUAUGUAGACCAAUUUGAAAACGGGACUAAAAAUUAAGAAUCCUUAUACACAGUAGAUUUGGCAUAUCAAAGAACCCCAAUUAUUCAAUUUUUGAUGAAAUCAAACAAAGUUUAAUUUGGACCCCGAUUUGGACCAACUUGAAAACUGGCCAAUAAUCAAAAAUCUAAGUACAUUUUUAGAUUCAGCAUAUCAAAGAACCCUAAGGAUUCAAUUUUUGUCAAAAUCAAACUAAGUUUAAUUUUGGACCCUUUGGACCUUAAUGUAGACCAAUUUGAAAACGGACCAAAAAUUAAGAAUCUACAUACCAACAGUUUAGAUUCGGCAUAUCAAAGAUCCCCAAUUAUUCAAUUUUUGAUGAAAUCAAAACAAGUUAAUUUUGGAACCCUUUGGGCCCCUUAUUAAACUAUGGGACCAAAACUCCCAAAAUCAAACCCAACCUUCCUUUAGUCAUAAACCUUGUGUUUAAAUUCAUAGAUUUCUAUUUACUUAAACUAACGUAAUGGUGCGAAAACCAAGAAUAAUGCUUAUUGGGUCCCUUUUUGGCCCCUAAUUCCUAAACUGUUGGGACCUCAAACUCCCAAAAUCAAUACCAACCUUCCUUUUGUGGUCAUAACAUUGUGUUUAAAUUUCAUUGAUUUCUAUUACUUAAACUAAAGUUAUUGUGCGAAAACCAAGAAUAAUGCUUAUUUGGCCCUUUUUUGGCCCCUAAUUCCUAAACUGUUGAACCAAAAACUCCAAAAUCAAUCCCAACCUUUCUUUUGUGGUCAUAAACCUUGUGUCAAAAUUUCAUAGAUUUCUAUUUACUUAAACUUAAGUUAUUGUGUGAAAACCAAGAAAAUGCUUAUUUGGGCCCUUUUUGGCCCCUAAUUCCUAAAAUGUUGGGAUCCAAAACUCCCAAAAUCAAACCCAACCUUCCUUUUGUGGUCAUAACCUUGUGUUAAAUUUUCAUAGAUAUAUUCACUUUUACUAAAGUUAGAGUGCGAAAACUAAAAGUAUUCGGACGACGACGACGCAGACGACGACGCCAACGUGAUAGCAAUAUACGACGAAAAAUCAAAAUUUUUGCGGUCGUAUAAAAACUGGCACCCAAUGGUACAAUUAAAAGUACUUUCAUAUUACAGAAUCGUGCAGUCAUUCUUUUUAUAUCUGAUGAUGUUGAUGAAAUAAUAUUUAAUGAAAAAACAUAAGGAACCAAUGAAACUAAUAAUGAGAGCUAUUCAUAUGAAAUAUUACAUUAUCAGCAAAUCCAAAAUCAUACCCAGAGCUUGCUAAUUAGCAUGGGCACCUAUUCAAAGUAGAAAUCUGUUAAUGAUAUCUAAGUUGUCAUUGUUGAUCAAAUCUCAACUUGAAGACAAACAUGUUUCUAUUUCCAGUAGAUUUACUUUUGUUGUUCCGUUGCUGUCCCAUUGAAAUUGAAUUUCCAGAAUAUACAGUCAAAUGUUUGCCUAUCUUCACAAAUAGAUUUUUUGUCCUAAAUAUAAUGCUAAAAGGAAUCAUAAAUAAUCUUACUGUCUUGGAGAUCUGCCUCCACCCUUGGAAGAAGCCAGACUCAACUUUGACCCCCUAAUGGAGGACUUAGUUGAUGCAAUAGAAAUAGUGUCACUGCCAUCACUCUGACGAUCUCCACUACGACUUCGUUUAAUAUUUAAAAUGUUCAGUUCAUCUUCAGAUAAUGGCUGCCUUAAUUCAUCCGUUUUAAGUUUCUCAAAGCCACCUCUUUGCCACAUACCAACUGACCCAUCUGGUGCAUUAUAUGUAAGUUCAAAGGUCACUGUUGUCUGAAAUGCAAAAUAUCACAAAUAAAGUCAGCUGCAUAAGUUCAAUACUGUCUUGUCUAUAUGUAACACAACAUGAAAUAAAACAUAUGUAUUACUUUUCAAGAAAAACAUUGAACAAACCUUUGAAUGUACCAUACAUGGAAUUACGAAAUAUCAUAUCACUGAGCAAGCUUUAUUAACAAUAUUUUCCCAAUCAAAUAAAAUUUUUCAAUUCCUUGAUAAGUCAGUUCUUGCAUUAUAAAGUAAUGUUCAGUCUUGCAUUAUUAAAUAAAGUUCAGAGUAUUGUCAUUGUAACUUGGAAUAAGUAAAUCCAUUACAAGAUAAUCUUAGCAAAUGUCAAAGUAAGAAAAAAACGUAUAUUUUUAAUGUAUUAGGGAAUACGAAAAAUUGUCUCUCUUAGGCAUUGAAAGUAAUGAUGACAUUUACUGACAAACAAGAAUGUGUCCCCAGUACACAGAUCCCCCACUCGUUCUAUCAUUUUCUAUGUUCAGUGGACCGUGAAAUUGGGGUCAAAACUCUUAUUUGGCAUUAAAAUUAGAAAGAUCAUAUCAUAAGGAACAUGUGUACUAAGUUUCAAGUUGAUUGGACUUCAACUUCAUCAAAAACUUUAACCUGAAGUUGGACGAACGGACGGACUGACGGACGGACGUACAGACCAGAAAACAUAAUUCCCCUCUACUAUCGUAGGUGGGGCAUAAAAAAAAUUUCCUACCAAAUUAUACGAUCAGAGAUGAUUGUCUUAAUUCUAGUCUGAUUUUUUUGUCAGACUGAAUAGUUUGUAGUUAAAGGAGUAAAAGAUCUUAAAUAGGUACAAAGUUUCCUUUGUCAGACUGACUAGUUUGUAGUUAUAGGAGUAAAAGAUUUUAAAUAGGUACACAGUUUCCUUUGUCAGACUGACUAGUUUGUAGUUAUAGGAGUAAAAGAUCUUAAAUAGGUACACAGUUUCCUUUGUCAGACUGACUAGUUUGUAGUUAUAGGAGUAAAAGAUCUUAAAUAGGUACAGUUUCCUUUGUCAGACUGACUAGUUUGUAGUUAUAGGAGUAAAAGAUCUUAAAUAGGUACAGUUUCCUUUGUCAGACUGAAUAGUUUGUAGUUAUAGGAGUAAAAGAUCUUAAAUAGGUACACAGUUUCCUUUGUCAGACUGAAUAGUUUGUAGUUAUAGGAGUAAAAGAUCUUAAAUAGGUACACAGUUUCCUUUGUCAGACUGAAUAGUUUUAGUUAAUUAGGAGUAAAAGAUCUUAAAUAGGUACACAGUUUCCUUUGUCAGACUGAAUAGUUUGUAGUUAUAGGAGUAAAAGAUCUUAAAUAGGUACAGUUUCCUUUGUCAGACUGAAUAGUUUGUAGUUAUAGGAGUAAAAGAUCUUAAAUAGGUACAAAGUUUCCUUUGUCAGACUGAAUAGUUUGUAGUUAUAGGAGUAAAAGAUCUUAAAUAGGUACACAGUUUCCUUUAUCUACUUUCCUUCUUCUCUCAAUAUCUGUAUCCAUAUAUAAAUAUAAAAUAUCCACCUAAAUUCAAUUAUUCUAAAUUAAACUUGUAUCUUUGAUUUAACAAAAACUGACAAAAUUCAAAGAAAACAGAAUACAAAACUGAAAUAAUUUACGCUUUUAUCUUAUUUUCUUGAACGCCAAUUAGUUAAGGUUAUUGUUUUUCUAAUGUUUUUUUUUCUUUUUCUUUUUUCAAGGUCUUUCCUCUACGCCAGGAAAGACCUUAUUGUUUUUCUCAUGUUUUUUUUUUCUUUUUUUUUUUUUACUUCCAUCAUUUUUUUGACAUGGCCCCCCUCAUAAAGAUAUCAUGACCUUCAUCUGGACAAUAGGUAGAUCUCAUCAUGAUGUAUUACCAUAUGAGGCUGCGUAAGAUUUCAUCAUCCAUUUGAGAGUACAAAGAUAAACUUUGGAAUUGUCCCUAUUUUUUUUCUACAAUGAUGUGCUUCAACUGCAGAUCAUUUAUCAUUUAACAGAUUUGAGAUAUCUACCGGUAUUGUCGUUUUAGAGAUAAUGCAGUUUGAAGUUUUGCGAGCAGGGGCAUGUAUUUCUGAUUCAACAACAGCUUACCACUUAAAAUGUUUUAGAAAUUGAAGAGGUUAAAAUAGUUAUAAGUUUGACAAAUACCAAAAACAUUUCAUGGAAAAAAACACCAAAAAAUCAAUUUGAAAUUUUCAAGUUUUGCAUUGACUUUGUAAGUUUCAUAACUUCUAUUUAUAUAGUUGAUAUUGCAUCAUUAUUGGCACAUUGACAAAUGGGGUCAUCUGAUAUAUCAAAUUGAAGGUCUUAAUAAACUCUACUUAAUUAAAAAUGUUUUACCCCUUUUUCAUCCCAGGGGGAAGGGUGGGGUCAUUUAGUGCAAAAAUUCAAAUUUCUCAGAUGGUAAGGUUGUCGCAUAUCAAAUGAAAGAACAUAAAGCUUACAUUUCAAAUUUCAAAUUGACAUCCCCAAAAAAUUGGUUGAGUGGGGUCAUUAAGGGCAAAAAAAUAAAUUUCUUUUAAGAUAAGGUUGUUGUAUAUGAAAUGAAAGGUCAUGAUGUGUACAUUUGAAAUAUCGAAUUCCUGACCUCCAAAAAUUAGAUGGAUGGGGUUAUUAAGUGUAGAAAUCUAUAUUUCUUUGUUGUUGCAUAUUAAAUGAAGGAUCAUUAAGUCUUUGUUACAUAUAUCAUACUUCUGAUCUCAAAAAUGUAGGCGGAUGAGGUCAUUUAAUGUAAAAAGCGAAAAGUUUCAGAAGGUAUGCCUGUCGAAUAUCAAACAAAAGGUCGUACAAGGUACAUUACAAAAACAUCACUUUUACUGGAAAGACCUUUCAAUUGUUUUACAAACAAUUGAGAUACCAGUUAGUCAUGUAAUUAUGUUGGCCUCUAUAGAAUAGCAUAUAUUUAAAGGACAAAGGACACACAUACAAGUGGACCUUCAAGCUUGAACAUAUUACUCAAACAUUCAACCAUAAUGAAUCUGGAUAUACAAUUUAACCUUUCAUGAAAGAAAUAAAACAUUACUCGAGUCUGUUUAAACACAAAUAAACUGUCAAGUCCCAAGGGUGAGUUUAAACUAUAUGAAUGUAUCACAGAAAGUUUAUUCCUACCAAUAAAAUACAGAUUGACAUUCUGCAGAGUUGAAUUAGAGCUAAAUACUAAUUAUUUUGAAAUAUGGAGUUUUCAUGGAAAACGUGUCAAUUUCAAUAACAUUAUAACUGACGGAAAUAAACUAUAAAUCAAGUAGUUCUGAAAAUAAAACCUUGACACAAAGUUUUUUUUUUGUUUUACUUUUUCAAGGAAAUAAUUUAUUGAAAUAAAUCACUCAUAAAGACACAAGUUUUCAAAUCAUAAAUGAUUAAUUUUAAAAUUCCACGAAGCCUAAAAUAAGUGUCAAAAUGCAAUACAAUGUCAUUUCCAAUACUUUAUAAUUGUAGUCAGUGUUAAAAAAUGUCCUUUAUAUAACUUUUUAAAAAUCUUUUAUACUCAUAAGAAAUUACUCCCAUACUGUCAAGUGUAAAAUUACUCCCAUACUGUUAAGUGUGAAAUUACUCCCAUACUGUUAAGUGUGAAAUUACUCCCAUACUGUCAAGUGUGAAAUUACUCCCAUAAUGUUAAGUGUGAACUUACUCUCAUACUGUUAAGUGUGAAAUUACUCCCAUACUGUCAAGUGUGAAAUUACUCCCAUACUGUUAAGUGUGAAAUUACUCCCAUACUGUCAAGUAAGAAAUAACUCCCAUAGUGUGAACUUACUCUCAUACUGUUAAGUGUGAAAUUACUCCCAUACUGUCAAGUGUGAAAUUACUCCCAUACUGUUAAGUGUGAAAUUACUCCCAUACUGUCAAGUGAGAAAUAACUCCCAUACUGUUAAGUGUGAAAUUACUCCCAUAAUGUUAAGUGUGAAAUUACUCUCAUACUGUCAAGUGUGAAAUUACUCCCAUAAUGUUAAGUGUGAAAUUACUCCCAUACCGUUAAGUGUGAAAUUACUCCCAUACCGUCAAGUGUGAAAUUACUCCCAUACUGUUAAGUGUGAAAUUACUCCCAUACUGUCAAGUGAGAAAUAACUCUGAUACUGUCAAGUGAGAAAUUACUCCCAUACUGUCAAGUGUGAAAUUACUCCCAUACUGUCAAGUGUGAAAUUUCUCCCAUAAUGUUAAGUGUGAAAUUACUCCCAUACUGUCAAGUGUGAAAUUACUCCCAUACUGUCAAGUGUAAAAUUACUCCCAUACUGUCAAGUGAGAAAUUACUUCCAUACUGUCAAGUGUAAAAUUACUCCAUACUGUCAAGUGUGAAAUCACUCCCACACUGUCAAGUGCUAAAUUACUCCCAUACUGACAAGUGUGAAAUUACUCUGAUACUGUUAAGUGAGAAAUUACUCCCAUACUGUCAAGUGUGAAAUUACUCUGAUACUGUCAAGUGUGAAAUUACUCCCAUACUGUCUACUGUGGAAUUACUCCCAUACUGACAAGUGUGAAAUAACUCCCAUAGUGUCAAGUGUGAAAACACUCCCAUACUUUUAAGUGUGAAAUUACUACCAUACUGUCAAGUGUUAAAUUUCUACAAUACUGCCAAGUGUGAAAUCACUCAUAUACUGCCGAGUGUGAAAUAACUCCCAUACUGUCACGUGUAUAAUUACUCCCAUACUGUCAAGUGUAUAAUUACUCCCAUACUGUCAAGUGUGAAAUAACUCCCGUACUAUCAUGUUAAAUUACUCCCAUACUGUCAUGUUAAAUUACUGCCAAACUGUUAAGUGUGAGAUUCCUCCCAUACUGUCAAGUGUGAAAUUGUUUCCAUACAGUUGAGUCAAAAAUUACUUCCGUACUUUUAAGUGAGAAACUUGUGUUUUAUGAUAAUAUCUUAUACGUGUAUGGCUUUAAGUAUAACUUCAAACUAAAGUUUAUGUAAACUGAGGCUUCUAGUGUAGGCUUAUAUUAAGUUUAUGUGAAAGGUUUCUAGUGUAGGCUAAUAUUAAGUUUAUGUGAAAGGUUUGUAGUGUAGGCUAAUAUUAAGUUUAUGUGAAAGGUUUCUAGUGUAGGCUAAUAUUAAGUUUAUGUGAAAGGUUUCUAGUGUAGGCUAACAUUAAGUUUAUGUUAAAGAUUUCUAGUGAAAAUCAACACUUUUUAUAUUUGUGGUGUUAACACACUAAAAAUAUUUGUGAAAAUUUGUCAAUAUUAAUGGAUUAAUUCUAAUGUUUACUUUUAUUAAGUACCAGCAAGAAAUAUGCUUAUUAAAUACUAGUUUGAUAACUACAUGGUGUGAUUUAUUCAAGACAACUUUAUCUUGGUUUACUCAAAAAACACAGUAUUAUUCAAGAAGUGUUUCCCCUGCCUGGAUUGCUUAGAAUGCAAUGAGUCCAGUCAUUUUUGUCUGAGCUAUCUUGGUGUAGGGCAUAUCAAUUUGUGCUUUAUAUAGUUUUAACAUGUGCUAUAAUUUUAGUACAAUGUUUUAGUAAAUAUCCCAGAAGUAACCAAACAUUUCUUAUUGAUUGAUUUAUUUACAUUUUGAAACAAAACACUUUUAAAUAAUUUAACAGUUGAACAGUCAUAAGAGUAAAGCUUAAAAAAGGAUGUAUAGAUUAAACAUUAGGAAACUUGCCAACAUAUAAGGUUUGGUCCAUUAAUGCUGGAUGUAAAAUUAACUAUUUACAGCUGAUUUUUGCUUGUAUCAUAAAAACAAACAAUUAAUAUGUGUCGUUUACAGGGUUAUUAUCACAAAACAUGCAACUGAGAAGUUCAGAGAUUUCAGUCACUUUUUCUGUGUCCAAUCUCAAUAAACACAAAGGUCAUGUGUGAAAUGCAAGAAAUCUAUUGUCUGCAUGAAAAUGUCUUCUUAUACUGGUGAUAUCACCUUGUCAUAGGUUUUUAUCAGGAUAAGGGGUCAAAAUAGAAAAUUGUAUUUGCCAGUGUAAAAAAAAGCCAGAUGCAUAUAUAACUAGGUUCUGCUAGAAUAAUCAAAGAUAUAUAACAGUAACAUAUUAUAAAUGUUUUAUAUAAGGGAUGGACUGCAAGGUUCUUGCUUCACCAACUUAAUUGACUAAUUGAUUGACAAUAUUAGUUCUUGACACAUAGAAUACUACUUUGUUAGCAGGAGACCAAUGAGGAUUCUACUAAUGUGACAAACAUUCUACAUUAUUAAUCAUACUUCAUCAAACAUUUACAAACGCUAUAUAAACUAAUUGACGUGUUAUAUCCAAAAUUAGAAUGACGUUCAAAAGUUACAUUGUUCAUAAAGGCGUAAUAACAUAUAUGAAAAAAAUUGGAAAGUUCUAGGUGUAUAAAUUCAACUGUUUGAAUACAAGUUAACUUAGUUUCUGAAAACAAUUUUCGUAUUUUUCUUCCUUGUCAGCUUUUCUGGCAGUCUAUCGCCCACAUAAAAACACUCAACAACUGUUGAAAAUGUCACAGCAGUCAUUUUGAGUAAAUCUAAUUGUAACUUAAGAAAAUGUGUGUUUCAUGGUAAUGAGGUCUUGUACUGUUAAAUAAUUCACAUACAACCUGACAUACCAAUCAAAGUAGCAAUACCUUAAUGGCAUUAUUUCGUUAAUUUUCAAAUCUAAUGAAAAUGAGAAAAUUCAAUUACGAAAAUUUCAACAAUUUCUUAACAGAAAAAUACAUGUUUAAUCAAAUCUUAAAAUCAGAAAUUUUGAAUUUCUAUAUGCUACAAGAAGAAAGGUGCAGAUUCAGAUGUGAAUAAGGCAAAUAAAUUUGAUUAACUGCUGAUAUUUUUAAUCUUGUAACUCCCACUCACAAAUAUAAUAAAUGUGUUAACUUUUUAAAAAGUUUUUGGGUAAAGAGUUAUAGGGUAUCUUUAGUUGCAAAGUUUAUUUUUGGGUUUUGCCAGCGAAAGCAUUAAGUCAGAAUUUUUUUAUGGAUGCAAUAAGAAAAUUUUAAUAAAACAAAGUAAUUUUUAGAUACAUAGUCUCAAUAGAGGCGUAAUAUACCAAUUAACAGGUAACAUUUUAGGACAUAAUUUGUAAAUAUAAAUCAACGUGCUGAUUCUAUCAUUCAGGUAUUUCAUAUCAUAUCUUUUAUCAUAAAAUAUACUAUAACCAGAUGCUCCGCAGGGUGCAGCUUUAUACGACAACAGAGGUUGAACCCUGAACAGUUGGGGCAAGAAUGGACACAACAUUCAAGCUGGAUUCAGCUCUAAAUUUGGAUUGUGAUUAACUAGUUGACACAGCAUAGGUUUCUGACACAGAAUGAAUGUGGUCUAAUAAACUUAAAAUUUGUAUUUUGCCUUUGAGCAAUUCACUAUGCUGUUGAAUAUUAAUCCUCUCAAAAAAAUGUUUCAAGAAAUUUUCUUUUUAUUUAUGAAAUCUGAAAUGAGAAAAAUUGAACCCCCCCCCCCCACACCAAUUUUUUUUCACAUCCCCCUUUUCCUUAUUCCAAAACUGAUCUCAAUUCAAAUUAAAAACCAGUUGUUCAGAGAACCAUUGAUGGUCUUUCCACCAGUACGGAUCUUUUUUAUAUGAAAAUAUUAAAAUUCGGUUUUAAAUGUCAAUUUUAGCGUCAAAUGACAGCUUAUUAAACGCUGAUUCCAAAAAUAUAUGAUUUCUAUACAAAAAGAUAUAAAAAGGGAGAUCAUUUUUCACUUCCGGUUGAAAAGAUGUUACUUCCGGUAUGUUUUGAUAGUUUAGUUGACUCUGAUUCCAAAAAUAGAUGGUUCUGUAUACUUUUACAUUAAAUUAGUACAAAAAAGGGCUACUUCCGGUUUACAAAAGGUCACUUCCGGUUGGCUUUUUCAAGGUCACUUUGCUUGCAAGCUUUUGCAAAAAGUCCCAUGGCUUUAUCAUGUAUACAUUAGAGGAAAGAGCAAAGGUCAAACUCUAGAACGUUGAAUUUACCUAUGACCUUGAGCUCAAUUCCAAGGUCAUCAACCAAGGACCUCAAAUCAAAAGACUCUAGGCCUCUACUUCAUAUUGUUAAUGAGUUAUAUCAUCAUAUAACUAAUAUUAGAUAUAAAAGGGGAGAAAACUCGCAUUAAAUGUUACGUACCCUUUUAAGUAAAAUUUAUGUGUUACGACAUGUCGCAACUAACAAUUGUCUGAAAAUAUUUUGUCGAUAUCUUGUAUGAUUUCUGAAAAUAAGAGAUAACAAGCCAAAAUCAAAAAUUUGAAAAUGACCUUGACCUUUGACUUGACCUCAUUUUAAUUUUUUUGAACCAAGGACCUCAAAUCAAAAGACCCUAGGCCUCUAUCACUUAUGGUUUUCCAGUUACAAAUUUAUUUCAUUUAUUUCAAUAUAAAAGGGGAAAUAACUCUCAUAUGGAGUCUUCGUAAAGCUUCGGUCAAAAUAAAACGUAACAACCUGAAGGUAUAAUGAGCAAUUUGGAAAAAUAAAUUUGUCGCUUUCUUUUACGGUUGCGGAGGAGAUCUGAUAACAAGAAAAACAGUGUUUGGGGAGAUAACUCUUACAAACAAAAAUUGUUCGGUUAAACAGGGUGAGUUUCAAAAGCGUAUAGACUGUAUGAUAUCAUAUUCAAAAAAACUAAUCGACAUCUUUUGAAACAUUUUUACACCGCAAGAAAAAAAUUAGGCGGAAAGAAAAAAAAAAUAAUCAGAACAAAAUCAAUAGGUCUUUCCACACGGAAAGGUGGAAAGACCUAAUUACUAAUGGAGUUUGCAACAAUAACUACUCAUUUAAAUACAUCAUAAAAUAUUAAAAUGUAAAAAAAGUACUUGUUAUCACUGAAUGGUGAAGAUUUUUUUAAUUUAUCAGUUGGAAGUAAAAGUGAAUAUACAUUGUAUAUUGUAUAAAACAAUGAUUUAAGUUGAUUCAACUACUAUUACAUGAUAACUCCCAAUGAAAAUUUCUUGCUAUGUGCGCAAUAUUGUGCAAUUAGAAUUUCUCCCUAUUGCGGCAAUACUGUGCAAUUGAAUAAUACUUGCUAUUGCACCAAUACUGUGCAAUUGAAGAAUUUUUUGCUAUUGCACAAUACUGUGGGACCCUUUGACCUUAAUGUAGACCAAUUUGAAAACGGGACCAAAAAUUAAGAAUCUACAUACACAGUUAGAUUCAGCAUAUCAAAGAACCCCAAUUAUUCAAUUUUUGAUGAAAUCAAACAAAGUUCAAUUUUGGACCCUUUGGGCCCUUAUUCCUGUAGACCCACUUGAAAUUUCAGGACAUAAAAGUUAAAGAAUCUGCUUACACCCUUUUUGUUUCUAAACUGUUGCAUAUCAAAAGAACCAACACCUUAUUCAAUUUUGAUGAAAUCAAACAAACUAUAAAUUUAUUGUGCAAAAACGCAAGAAUAUGCCCUUAUUUAAGCCCUUUGAUCUUGCCCUAAUUCCUAUUAACUAGUUGGAACCAAAACUCCCAAAAUCAAUCCCACCCUUCCUUUUGUGGUCAUAAACCUUGUGUCGAAAUUUCAUAGAUUUCUAUUUACUUAAACUAAAGUUAUAGUGCAAAAACCAAGAAAAUGCUUAUUUGGGCCCUUUUUUGCCCCUAAUUCCUAAACUGUUGGGACCAAAACAUCCAAAAUCAAUCCCAACCUUCCUUUUGUGUUCAUAAACCUUGUAUUUAAAUUUCAUAGAUUUCUAAUUACUUAAACUAAAGUUAUAGUGCGAAAACCAAAAGUAUUAGGACAACGAGGACGAUGCUGACGCCAACGUGAUACCAAAAAAAUUUCAAUAAAAAGCACAAAAAAGUUAUCAUGCACCUCAAAAUCUACUAGACCUUAAAAUAGAAUUAUUAAGAAGGGAUAUAGUUACAAUACUUUGGUCAAAUCAGUACAGAUAGUAUUUUUUUAAAUUAAAAUUGAUUGCACUUGCACUUUAUUCUAAAACCAGUUGUUGGCAAGAUACAUGUUAUGUUCUUCUCAUAUUAUGUAUGAUUGAUUGUACUUGAUUUUCAUAUGAUGAGACUUAUUUUUUGGUUUAGGGUUGAUGGAUUUUCUUGUUGUGUUCAGGACCCAUUGGUGGCUUUGGGAUGUUUCUGGUCUUUGGUCAGGUUUUUGUCUGUUUGACUGUGUACUGUACUGUCUACUGAUCAUGAAACAGCUAUUGUCCAAAUUAAAUUAAAUUUCAUGGAGGUUUGAUGAAGUUAUUGAUGCAUAAACAAACUUAAACCAUAGACUGAACCUUAAUGUUGACAAUACAAUUGAAUUAGGCUAUUCACUAACAGCCUAACAAUUAAAUGUUUAAAAUGUUUAUUCCUAUAUCCUUUUACACAACAGUACUGAAAAAGUUUUUGAAAACAAUACAAUUUUUAAAUGAAUAUACUAGGAUUAUGCAAUAUUUCAGGACUCACAAUCAAAAUGUUAGAUAAUUGCAAAUAUAUCCUUCCAUGCCUGUAAAAACAAUAUAAUUAUUAAAACUCAAAUUUUCUUGCAUCACAAUGAACUAUAUUCAUUGCUAUCCUCUUUUAAACUGUGUCUCUGUAAACUCCAUGUUAUCAUUUACAUGAACUGUUCAAAUUGGAUCUAAUACUGAUUUUGGGAUUUAAAAUAAGAAGAUGUUCAUAUAUUCAGUAACUGGUAUUAGUUUCAAACUGAUUUUCAUAAACUAUCAAAGAAAAACUGUGGACAAAAAUUUUAUAAAUACAUCUAAACAAUUUUAAAACAAGAAUGAGUUCCAACGCCAUGCCCCUCUAUAAUAUCAUUGUAUGGGGUAAAUAAGGAAAUGCUUGUUGGAAAAUAACAAGAAUCAUCAAUAAUUUCUGAAUUUUGACAAAAUUUAAGUAAUAAAUCUCUAUGAAAAGAGGUAAAACUGUAGUACUUUAAAUGCAAGCAACUGAUGAAUAUCAUUGUAUAUGUGCAUAUAAAGUGUAGGAGGGUAUGCUUAGUCAACUGAAUGAACAAGAAUCAUCAUUUCAUGAGACAAUAAGGAAAAACUUUCUCCAGAAAAAAUCAGAGUUUAGAAAGCAACCACAAUUUUGGUGUAUAUAAUUGAUUAUUUUUUCAUAGAAAUCUUGAUUUUCUAUCUUUCCUGAGACAUAACUGUAAAAAUAUAUAAAUAAUUAAAUAAGGUUUGAAAGAAAGUAGACAAUAAUAAGAGACUGGGAUCUAUCAAUGUAUCCCAGGAGUCUGUCAUUUCUGACAUUUCUAGAGGAAAUAGAUAUUGUGACGUUUUUAUACAUUAUAGUGUGCUAAGGUGAAGUACUCAUCUCUAAUGCUUUUAUUGCAUGUUUCUUUACAUCUAACAUAACAACAAUAUGUAAAUCUUUUGUCUUUCAUGUGGUUAUGUCACCUUAAGGUCUCAUAGAAACAAUACAAUAUUGACUUUAUAACGGCAAUUAUUCUUUUAAAUAUACAGAAGAGAUGGAACUAAAUUUACAUGUCAUUGAUUGACUAGACCAAUUAAAAUCAAUCUUUAAGAUCACAAUGCACAUGCAACAGAUUGGAAUAUAAAAAAACAACAUGGGUUUUGUCACAGACUUUCUUAUAUCAUUUCUAUGAUACUUUAUUUAAUAAAGGCAAGGAAUUAUCAGUAAGGUCAUGUAGAGAGGUAUUACAAUCCUGUAUAUAGAGAACAGAGGGAGAUUUAGUCUGAGGAUUUAGUAUAAGCCUUAAUGACACAGCAGACCAACAACACAACAAAAUAAACAAAUAGAGGUGAUACACUAUAUAUAGGCAUGUCAUGUACAGAUAAAUUAGCCAAACUGUAACCUUCAAGUAAUCUUUUUUCAAUACUUUUGUGUUUAUUUAGUUGUUGUAUAUUAUGCUGAUCUGAUGAGUCAAGUCAAUUCCAACUGAUGUCUUCUGUUGUGCUCACAAACAUGUUUAAACCCAUCCAUUUUUUCAUGUAGGAGCCUGUAUUUCAAUUGUUAACACUGUUUGCUGUUUGUCAUAUUGUUAUUUGAUAAUUGCUUCUAUCAUAAAUCAGGUCAUUUAAUUUUCUCUUUUGAAUAUGUUAACAUUUUGCAAUGCUGUGCCCUUUCAUAGCUUAAUAAAUUGUCUAGUUUUUCCUCAUUGUUGAAGGUUGUUUAUGACCUAUUAUUGCUUACAUCCUUAGCCUUUGUCUCUUGUGGAUAGAUGUCUCAUUGGCAAUCAUACAUCCUCUACUUGUUUAUAUAUGAAAGAGUCUUUGGAAAGUGACCUUCAAAUAAGAAGAAUUGUAAUCAUGGUGAUUGCUAAAAAGGUUUCAAUGUAAAAUAUAUUCUUUCUUUACUAAAUUCUGCCUGGUGGUCAUUCCCAACCAUUUAGAAGUAUCCUGGAGAAAUAACUGAUUGACACUUGAGAGGACAUCAGAGUUCUUGUUUAUAACCUGAUACGAAACUUAGCUGUGAGGAAAAGUACUAAUUAAGAAAUACAACAUCUGAGUUCAUCAAACAGACAAUAAGGUUUCAUCUUGUUUCCUUUUCUCUCAAUGUUUUCAAUAGACACAUAUAUAUUAGGGAUGUCAACGAGUACUUGAAUAUCGCUCUGUAGUACCGAGUAUCGAGUACCAAAAUGAUAUUCGACUAAUCGAUUUCUUGUUAGAAUGUUGUUGCUUUCAUAGGUUUAUAAACAAAACUGAAUUUUUUUUGUGAGUGCCUCCCAGGAAAUUAUUAUAAAUUAAUCAAAAUUAAUAAAAAAGAAAAUAUGAUUCCAAUGUUGGCGUUAAACUGUCAUUUUGAAAUACCUCCUAGCAGAUGUACAUGUAGAAUAUAUGAACAAGAGCAUUUCCCUAAGGAUUUUGUUUUUUGGCUAAAUAAUCUUAUUCACUCUCCCUUCUCUGUACCAGAGCAUUUCAUCAGCAGGACUAUUAGUUACCUUACAAAUUUGAGAAAUCGCUAUGUCCCAGAAAAAAUUGACGAGAUAAUACUGUUUAAUAAGAACAAAUUCGCUGCACCCUGUGUCGACCCUCAGAAAAUGAUUACUGGUUACCAGAAGUUUCAAUCGUCACCCCUUUGUUGAUCAUUAAAUGUGUUUAUCUACGGUUCCUAAAAACUGUUAUUUGAGUAAUAAUUUUUCUUAAGAUAUUAUUUAAUUACUGAAUAAUUUAAUUUUGGAUGUAACGCGUCUUCUGAUUGGCUGACAUUAUUUUGUUAUGAGCCCAUAGACAUAAUUUAGUCAUGUGACCUUGAUGUCAUCAACGUUUUUUCAUAGUUUUCUACGAUUUAAAAUGGAAUUUAGAAUUAAAUUAUAAGAAAUGACUGUAAUAUUUUUUCUGUCUAUUCGAAAUAACAUAAAAAAUGUGGUGCAGACUGUUAAAUAACCCGCUACGCGCGUUAUUCAGUGUGCACCAAAUUUUUAAUGUUAUUUCUUCAUAGACAGAAAAAAUAUUACAGUCAUUCCUUACUUAGAUUAUUACCUGUUUACAUACAUGUAGUAAAUGAGCUAUUAAUUAUGGUAUAAAAUUUCUUGGGACUAUUAUCUAGUCCUAAGUAAUAAUAUUGAGGGUUUUUUUAUCAUAAGACAACGACCCACAAUACACGUACAUGAAAGGGUAUAAUUUUGUGUUUCCACUUUUGUAAAUAUUUUAUCAAGCGAGACCUCGAGUAUUGCUCAGUAAAUCCAACGAGUAAUCGAUAAGUAAGUCUUCACCGAGUUGACAUCCCUAAUAUAUAUACAUAUCAAAAUAUUGUGUUCGUCAAUUUAUUUUAGAUAUGUCUGGAUAUGGAAGAUUUUACAACUUUGGGAGAUCUGUUUAAUGUUAUAGUAUAAACUAAAAUAUAUGUCUGUUGUGAAAUCAUGUUGAAACUGAAGAUGAGGACAGACAAACUAACUGGAGAAAGCAUUUAACACUUUGCAACUUGGUUGUGUUGGGUAUCAUGAAGGUUUGUCUUUAGUUUCAUUUUUUAGACAGGGUAUGAAGGAUUCUUUAGACAGUGACUUUUGAAUUAAGGCGAUUUCUGAUUAUUGUGAUUGGUAGAACAGCAUCUUUUGCACUAGAUUCCAGGAGUGAACUCUUCCCACAAAAUAGCAUGGCCUAUAUAAAUAAAAUCUUGCAGGACAAUAAGUUGAAAAUUUCUUAACAAAAAAUGUUGUUACAUAAUUCAAAGAAACUAAAGACACUAAAGACGCUGUGACUUCCACCUCAGGAAACAAAAUAUGUCCUUAAGGAAAACUUAAUGAAAAACUUCUACACAUUUAUCACAGCAUCAUUUGAAAUUCAUUCCAACAGUUAUUGAAUUAAAGAGAUUUUCAAAUCAACUUGAUCCUGACAUUGCAGAGAGUUGGUUAAAGCUAUAUACAGUAGAUACCAAUUAAGUCUAAUUACGGUUGAUCAAAUUCAAAUACAGAUUGCCAUGAUGUGAAAGUUUCACAUGGAACCAUACACCUAAUUACAUGUUUCCUAGGAUGUCAGUACAUUUCUUAUACAAUCAAAUCUUACGUUUUCUGCAAUCCUUUAAGUAACAAUUACUUAUUCAACCUUAAAAUUAUUUUUUAUUGAUUAUUCUAAAAUUCUCAUCAAUGUCGAAACAACAUGAAGUAGCAUUCUUUUAAUUUGGAAAAGAAUAUUAAUUUUCUGCUAGCAGGUUUUAAUUAAAAUAAAUGGCACUCAAGUAUGUCAAUAUUAUGCGAUUGAAAGUGCAUUUUUCUGACAUAACUAUGGUUUAGAAUCACCAUGACGCAGUGUAAGCUAUUGAUAUUCACAUGCAACAAAUUCACUUGAAUAAAGUUUAAAGACAUAAAGAUAGUAAUUACAAAAUCAGAAUGAUCUAAACUUAAAAGUUGAAGAUAUGUAUUGAAGUCUUUAAAUUGUUUAGUAACAUUAUUGGGCAGUACCAUAAUCUUAAUAUUCUUUACCACAAUUAGAAACAAGAAUUCACAUUUAAUAGAUUAUUAUAUCAUAUAAUAUUGGAUCUGGCUCAACUGAAAUCAUUUAUGUUUAUAAUGUAGGUAAGGGUGGCCUCAUGUUUGUAUGGACCUUCAUCUAAGAGAAUGUUAAUUGGUAAAAUAUUUUUGACAAAUCACUUGAAAUUGCUUAGAUCAAAGUCAGUCAAGUGUUAAUUGUAGUAUACUGUGACAUAUAUUGGAAUGGAACAAAAUGACUUGUAGUUGCUAAGACCAUAAUGCAAAACUAAACAUGUGUAAAAUAUAGUGUACAGUGACCUUAUUGUUCUUUUUACCUCCCUUUUUGUCGAGCCUUUGACUUUAGUCGAAAAAGCGAGACUAAGCGAUCCUACAUUUUGUCGUCGGCGUCGGCGGCGGCGUCCACAAAUAUUCACUCUGUGGUUAAAGUUUUUGAAAUUUUAAUAACUUUCUUAAACUAUACUGAAUUUCUACCAAACUUGGACAGAAGCUUGUUUAUGAUCAUAAGAAAGUACCCAGAAGUAAAUUUUGUAAAAAUAAAAUUCCGUUUUUUCCGUAUUUUACUUAUAAAUGGACUUAAUUUUUCUGCGAGGAAACAUUACAUUCACUCUGUGGUUAAAGUUUUUAAAAUUUUAAUAACUUUCAUAAACUAUCCUGAUUUGUACCAAACUUGAACAGAAGCUUGUUUAUGAUCAUAAGAUAGUAUCAAGGAGAAAAUUUUGUAAAAAUAAAUUUCCACUUUUCCGUAUUUUACUUAUAAAUGGACUUAGUUUUUUUGCCAGAAACAAAACAUUCACUCUGUGGUUUAAGUUUUUAAAACUUUUAUAAUGUUCUUAAACUAUCCUGGAUUUCUACCAAACUUAGACAAAAGCUUGUUUCUGAUCAUAAGAUAUUAUUCAGAAGUAAAUUUUGUAAAAAAAAAAAUCACUUUUUCCGUAUUUUACUUAUAAAUGGACUUAGUUUUUCUUCCAGUUAACAUUAAAUACAGUCUGCAGUUAAAGUUUAUAAAACAUUUAUUAGAUUCAUAAACUAUCCUGGAUUUUUUACCAAACUUGGAAGCUUCUUUCAAUCAAAAGACAGUAUCGAGAGGGAAAUUUUCAUUGAUAUUUUUUCCUCAUUUUUGUUGAGUCUGCGAUUAACAGCAAAAGUAGGCGAGACACUGGGUUCCGUGGAACCCUUACGAAUCUUUUUAACAAAACAAUAUGACUUUAAGAUGCUUAGAUAUGACUUGAUCAAAGAGGAAUGAAUACCUGAAUGUAAACAGUGGUAAAUCUCCUACAAAUAACUCUGAACUUCCUUUUUACAUUAUAACAAUGAUAGGUUGGAAGAGAUAUAUUUAAAUUGAUACAAUACUAUGAUACAAUAAUCUAUUGUAAAGCAUCCUAACAUUCCCUGUACAACAGUAACAAUGCUAUCAUAGAAUAUUGAUUACACUUUCAAGCUUAUGCAGUAUAACAUUUCUUCAAGAAUAAUUGUGCAGUAUGUCUAAAGUACUUAAAUUUGGUUUGGAAGAACCAAAACAGAAUGGGAAAGUUUACCUUCAUGACAACAUUGUUUCCAUCUAGUAGAUUGUCGGAGAUCUUGACCGUUCCCACUUCAAUCAACUCUUGUAGAAUCAUUCUAAAGGUACCUAUUAGUCUAGAAAAGUAAAGUAUAUGAGAUGACAUCAAACAUUCAUAAAAACAUAGAACAUCAUAAUGUGCAAUAACUAUGCUUCAUCAAUUUCUUUUUUAAUCUUACAUAGAGAAUAACAAUUUCAGCAAGAAACUCUAAGCAAGGGACUCAAAUCAAAGUAGAAGUAUAAAUAGCACCCAUAAUGGAUGAAAUCAACUACAGCCAAUUUCGUUGAAUGUGUAGGGAAAGGCAGAAUCCUUGGUUAGCUUGCUUGUUAGCUAAACCUUGAAGUCUUUAUAAGGAGGUAGACUACCCUCCUCUAAGAGUAGACUAGUCGAACAGAUAACUUAUCUAUCUGUCUGUAAGACUAGACUACUUCUGAAGGAGGGUAGUAUAUCUUACCUAAUAAUGACUUUGCGGUUCAGCGAAAAAGUAAGCUAACCAAGUAUUUUAUCUUUCCCUACACACUCAAUGAAAUUGGCUGUAAAUAUUGUUUAUUGUUUUAUGUAUGUAGUGUAUUAUGAUUAGUGUCCUGUCUGCUGAUUCUGUGAAAAAAGCAGACAAGUCAUUCAGUUAUGGAAAUUUAAUUAAUGAUUACAACUCAUAUUAAACAUAUUAUUGACAAUGCAUUUCAAAAUCAGGGAAAAUGUCAUAACAAAAUCAAAACGACACAAAAAUAACUAAAUGAGCAGUAAAAGUACAUCAGGUGUGAUAAACAGUUGACAAUAACUGCUGAUGACAAUAUAAUAAUAUUGUCCAAUCAAUGGAUGCAAAGGAAAUAAGAACCAAUAACUAGAUUAUUUAUUGCUCAAUUCAUCCACCAGAAAAAUAUCAAAAUUGGAUUUUUUCCUCAUUUACAUGCAUGUAGUACAGAAUAAGGUUAUGUAAAACUUUGUCAGUGAAAAAUAUAAAGAUGUUAAUUUCCCUGAAACUGACACUAGAAUAAGUGAAUGAACUAUGUCCCAUGGGGAACAUGGUAUAUUCAAAGCUUCCAUUGAACAUGACACAAACACAACAUCAAGGCUUGAUGACAUUGAAUUAACUAUGUGUUGGAAUUAAAAUGUCUUUCAUGUUAAGCAACUUGGACAAGAUUUCUGUCAUUUGAUAAGAGUCAAAUUGAGUUUAAUACAUAAUUUCAAGGAUGUUUUCCCUCCUGGGUUGAAACAUAUGAAAUAAAUGAAAAUUAUCUAAUAAAUUUGUGCAUCCCAAAUGCUUUUCUGAAUUCAUCUUCUCCAGGAAAACUCAAAUCUGAACAUUUAAAAGCCAGGGACAUGUAAAUACAAAGAAGCAUUUAGGAGCUUUAUGAACACAUAGGGCAUAUAAAAGAAUAGCCAAAUUCAUCUCAGCUCAACUCUGCUAGAGGGAGUUACAGGAAUAUUUUCUUAAUAAUUUCUUAACUUAUCAUAGGUGAAUUUUAGAAUAGCAUGUAAUACAAGUGAUAAUACCAAAAAUACAUUUGACCAAACCAUCUAAUCCUUACCAUUGCUAAUUUGUGAAGUAACUAGGAAAAUAUCUAUAAAAGGAAACAGUAGGGAAACUUAAAUGAGAGAGCAAAUAAACAAUGUAAGAUAAGUAAUUAACAAUAGACAAUUCCACUUGAAUCUAAACAAAAAAUAACACAAUUCUAAAUGUACAUUAAAAGAUAAAAGACAGUUACAACAACUGACAAGAAAAUCCUAGGAUGAAAUCAUAGAUAUUUGAUGGUAAAAUGGUACAGAAAAGAAGUCAAUAGUUCAAUUUAUGAUGACCAUUAAUAGUGCAAUGACCACUGACUGUCAUCACCAUAUUGGUGAAAUAAAGUAAUUGCUAGUGUUUAAUGUAUCUAUCUAAUAGAAACAGGGAUAUAUAUAGCAGGGUCUUGUCAUAAAAAUGUGUAAUAGUCAAAUGAUAUACUUGAGACAAUGUCUUACAAGUAUAGCACCUCCAUGAAUUAUUAAAGUAACCUUAUUCACACUUAUGUGUAAAAAGAUGUAGGAGUCAAUGAGACAGCAACCUAUCAUAACAGAUUUGACACCAGCACAGAUCACUUAAGGAAACAGCCAAAUUAUAGAAAGAGAUCACCAAAACUAUAAGAAACAAAGAAGUCAGAAAAGGAAAACCUGUAAUAAUUCAGUAAAUCUACUAGUAUUUGCAAUUUCAAAAAAGUCAUGAAAAUUUUUUAGAUUUAUCUACUUUUCUGUGGAAAGACCUAUUGUUUUUCUUCUUCUGAUUUUUUUUUUCUUCCGCCUAAUUUUGUUCUUGCAAUAAAUGUUUGUUUCGCAAUAUGUCGAUUAGAUAUUUGAUAUAUGAUAUUGAACAGUUUAUGCGCCUUUGUAAUUUACCCUGCAUAACUGAAUACUUUUCUUUGUAGGAGUUAUCUCCCCAAACACUGUUUUCCUUGUGUUCACUACUCCUUCGCAACCGUAAAAGAAAGCAACAAAUUUAUUUUAUAAAAUUGCUCGUUAUAUCCUUUGCAUGAUUUGUCCUAUUUUGACUGAAGCAAUAUGAACGCUCGAUAUGAGAGUUAUUUCCCCUUAUGCAUUUGAUAUAAGUGAUAUGCAUUUUUAUCUUGUAAACCAUAACUGAUAUAGACCUAGGAUCUUUUGGUCCAAAAAAAUAAAAUUAAGUCAAGGUCAAGGGUCAAGGUCAUAUUUUAUUUUUUUAAUUUGGCUUAUUUUCACUUAUUCCAAAAAACUAUAAGAUAUCAACAAAUUAUUUUUACUAAAUUGUUAGUUGCGACAUGUCGUAACAUGUAAAUUUUGAUUGCAAGGGUACGUUGAACGUAAAAGGGAGUUUUCUCCCCUCUUGUAUUUAAAAAUAUGCGUAUGGUUAUAUAAAUCAUUAACCAAAUAUAAUUAAGACCUAUGGUCUUUUGAUUUGAGGUCCUUGGUUUAUGACCUUGAAAUUGAUCUUAAGGUCAUUUGACGUUCUAGGUUUUGACCUUUGCUUUUACCUCAUAUGUAUACAUGAUAAAGCCAUUAGACUUUUGGCAAUAGGUAUCAAACCAUUUAACCUUGAAAAAACAACCGGAAGUGACCUUGUGUAAACUGCAAGUAGCUAUUUUUUGUACUUUAUAUAAAAGAAUAAAGAACCAGAUAUUCUUGGAAUCAGUGUCAAGUAAAUAUUCAAAUAUUAUUGAAAGUAACAUUUUUCAAACCGGAAGUAACGAAUUAUCUCCCUUAUUUAAAAAAUAUUGUAUAGAAUCCAUAUAUUUUUGGCAUCAGCAUACCAUAAGCUAUCAUUUGACGAUUGAAAUUACAUUUUAAACUUAAUUUUACUACUUUCAUAUUAAAAUACAUUCUUUUUAUUGGAAAGACCUUCAAUUGUUCUCUGAACAAUUGGUUUUUAAUUUUACAAGUAUCUCUUUAUUAUGGGAUUAUUUGUGGUAUACUGGUGUACUUUUAUUAUGCAGUCAACAUAUUUUAAUGUAAAACAAUGUAACAUCAUAUUGUUUGAGUAUUUCUCUGUUCUGAGUGUUCUUGUGUUUGUUUGUUCUAUAUUCCUGUCACGUAGUGUGAUCAUUUUGGCAGUGUUUUUGAAUUGCUGAGUUGGGGAGAGGUUUGGUUGCCUGGGUUAACCCACCAUUUUUUCUUAGGAUAUCCUGAGCCUAGUCAGAAAUAUGGCAGUUGUUUUCAAAUGGUCUGUUUCUAUGUUUGUUUUUGUUGAAUUUCAGUAUUUCUGUUGCUCUGUUGUUUCCUCUUGUGGACAGAUUUGUUUUCGCUUGGUUGAUUUUUUACUUUAUUGAAUGGCAUAUUCCACAUGUACUAACAAUAUUUAAAGACAAUAUUAAACCAUGUAAAUAAAUAAUAUAGACUUACCUAUUGCUGAGGUAUUUAUUAUAAUUAAGGAUCUGUAUAUCAAUAAAUUCAUCUUUUUCAAUUGGACGUGCCACAGGCCACUCAAAGACCUAGAAAAAUAGAAAAAAGAAAUGUUUUUUUUGUAAGUUACCCCCUCUAUUAUCUCAGUGUCAAAAAAUACUAAAUACUAAAAGGAAACUAAAUAAUAACAUAUCAUAUAAUACCAUAUACAUGUAUCAAUGAAUAUAUUUACAGAUACUGAAAUCAAGUUAAAAUUAGUUGUUUGCUAGGUGGACUUCAUACAGGAAGAAUAAGGACGCUAACAAUUAUCACUUCACAUAAAAUCUUAUGAAAAUAAACUGUUAUCAGAGAGAUAUGUCUCGCCUUUUUGUAAUUUUGAUUAUGCAAAUGUUGAAAUCCAAAUAGCAAUACUCUAACAUCCUACACAAGUUAUGCAAAUAUUCAAAGUCAUGAACCACGGCUGAGUUACAUUGCUAAACAAUUUCCAUGUAAAUGAGAUGUGCCAAUACUAAUACAACUGCAUACCAAAUACCAUUGACUUAUUGUAAGUCGUUCCAAAAUCUAAAUACAAACAUUAACUUGUAAACUAUGUAAAAGUUUCAAAGUCAAUGAACCAUGAAGAGUGGGUGGGGCUAUAUAAUCUCCAUGGAAACAAUACUUGCAAUGCCAAUAAAUUUGAAUACCAAAUAUCAUUGACUUAACAUAAGCAGUUGAUCUUCUUAAACUGAUCUUAGCACAUACUAAUGCAUGUAAACUAAAAUAAGUUUCAAAGUCAAAAGACUGUGACUGAGGGGCGAGGCCAAAUAUUCUCCAUGGAAAUGAGAUGUGCCAAUUCUUAUACAACUGCAUACCAAAUAUCAUUGACCUACCACCCCAUAAACUGACCUAAUCACAAACUAAUACAUGUAAAAUAAGCAAAAGUUUCGAAGUCAAUAGACCAUGACUGACGGGGUAGGGCAAAAUAAUCUCCAUGGAAAUGACAUGUGCCAAUGCUUAUACAACUGCAUACCAAAUAUGAUUGACCUACCAUGUGCCGUUCACCAUAAACUAGACCUAAUCACAAACUAAUACAUUGUUGACGCCGUCGCCGCCAUCACCAAUGCCAGAAACAGCAUACCUAUGUCUCGCUUUUUGACUCUGUUAAGACAACACAAUAAAACCUUGUAAGUCAUGAACAUUUCAGGAUAACUUAUGAAGAAUUUUUGUUGUAGGAGUGUUUGUAUCAGGAUCCUCAAGCUUAUUGCAACAAGAUGAUGUCCUCUCACUUUUGUAAGAAUAUUCCACGGAAUGUUUCAUUGAAGUUCAGAUUGUAUUUUAGGAAUUGUUAAUUCAAGAUGUAGAGCCAUCUUUGUAGUUUUUACAUUUAUACAUUUUGGAGUUUAGUGUGACAUCAAUUGCUGAACAAGUACACAUUUUUGUUUAUGGACCAGCUGAAGCCCACCUCCAGGUGCAGGAUUUUCUAGCUGUGUUGAAGACCCUUUGGUGGCCUUAGGGUGUUGCAAAUGUAUUUGUUUUUUUUUCUUUGGAAGGGUUCAUUCCCUAUUUCCAUUUUCCAUGUUAUUGUAAAGUUUGUUUUGCUUUAAAGAGUAAUCCUUGUAUCACAUUAGAUUAACAAACCUCAUCAUAGAAAGCUGAGUCUUCUGAGUCAACAAUCUUUGUGUAGUGUGCUACUCCUAAAAAUUAAAUAUAUACAGAUGAUAAGUAUGUAUCAAGUAUGGAGAUGUAAGUUACAUGAUAUCCUUGUUAACUUAGUUCUGAUAAAAGUACAAUGCAUAACUUAUGAUAUUUCAAAUCUUAUAUCAAUUGAUACUAAAUGUCUCUGCUUACUUGUGUUGAUGGGCUGCUGUCUCAUUUCAUACUCUCUACAAUUUUUUUAUUCAAAACAAAAACACACAUUUUUUGAGACUUUCAAUGAUAAUACAUUGUCAUCUCAUGGCCUUCAAUAAUAAUCAAACGUCAUAACAUUAAAGUAUUAGCUUUUAAAAAAGGACAUGAAAAAAACUAAUGAGAUAAUAGGUCAGAGUACACUUCAAUCUUUUUAACCCUGAUUUCAAAAGGAGAGUGAUAUUAUGGUCAAUAUAUCAUCUGACCCGUAGCACUUUUGUGAUUCUAUUUAAAACAUUAUGUGUCAACGAAAUCUAAAACUGAAUCAAUCCAAUAAAUAGAAUUGUAUGACCUACAUUUGUAAUAAGAGUAGAUAAUGUCCAUUAUUUACAAUGUCACUAUACUACAAUAUACAGAUGUAUUUUGUGAAUUACUUCCUACUCUUAUGAUGUAUUACUCUAUACAAUACGGUUAUGCCUAGGCAAUAAUGUAGAUGAUCGAAGAUAAAAUUAAAAUCAUAAAUACACCAACUUUUAUCAAAAUCAGUAAUAGUAUUUUUCUAAAAGCUUUAUACAAUGUAUCUAUAGCUGUGUGGAUUGGUGGUUUGAUAAAUAGCAUUGGGCUCUAGGAUGUUGCUAAUUGAUAUAUGUUGUUUAACCAAUUCAAUAUUAUAUUUUGGUUAUUGAAAUGUAUUCCUGCAUUCAAUAAGCUGGAAAGGAUUUAUUCAUCAUAUAAUGAAGUUUUUAGUAAAUAUAACUGAAUGUUAAUGUUGAUAUUGCUCUGUCAAUAAAACACAAAUUAGGUACAUUACCAAUCUGUUAAUCAAUCAAAUGCUGUCAAUUAAUGUCCAACGGAUUAAUUACUAGGAUUUAAGAAUCCUGUUACCUUAAUUAGUAUGGUUAAUCCUGUUACCUUAAUUAGUAUGGUUAAUCGUCAGUUUGGUUUUAUAGUCUAAAACUAAUUGCUUAAACUUAACAUAAUAAUCAUACAUGAAACAUGAGAAAAAAAAGACAAGUUAACUAUAUGCCAAGAGGUAGCAACCCAACAAAAGUCUAUGCUUUAAUAUAAAGUUUCUGAAAAGACAACUUGAUCCUGUAACCAGUUUCAUUGUACAAUAUACUGUGUCAAGUGAGCACAUGAUAUAUUCUUUAAGAUAAAAUAUAAACUAUAAUCAUUAAGUGAUGAACUCUAUAAUUUGUUCUCCUUCUAAAUAUGCAUGAAAUAUGUGCCACUGGACAUUACCAGAAGACAAUCCGUUAUAAAUACAGUGUUUGUAUUAGAUUGGUUUUAUGAAAAAACAUACAUAUAAAAAGAACUUCCAUUAUAAUUUUAUUUCCUACUUGUCAUAGUAGACAACAUCAAUUAUAAAAACAAAAUACCGAUUGAUUACCAUACUCAAAACCAGAUUUAUAUAAUAGAUAGGAUAUAUGUUUCACAUCAUAGCUGUAUCAUCUACAUAAAAAACCAAUACAAUUUAAUUAAAAUUAUCUGCUUUCUAGGUUUUAAAUUAAAGGCAACAGUAGUUUUCCAUGUUUGAAUCUCAUAAAUCCAUAUAGAAUACUGUAAUAAAAUUGAGAAUGGAAAUGGGGAAUGUGCCAAAGAGACAACAACCCGACCAUAGAGCAGACAACAGCAGAAGGUCACCAACAGGUCUUCAGAAAUUAUUGAGAUAUUUUUAAUGCGGUACUGUGUAAUGCAAAAAGUUCGAAAGUUUUAUGAUCACAAUGAUGAAAAGUCUCUCAUUCAUAAUUUCAGUAGUGUUUACCCUCAUUUCAUUGGUACAAUAGCAUUUUUUUAGAUUUCACAUUCAAUUUUUGAAUUAACAGUAUACAAAUUAACAGUAUACAAAUUAACAGUAUACAAAUUAAGACAUAAAACUUCAUCAUUGAUUGGUGGUGCUUAAUGUCAAGUUGCAAAUUUUUCAUGCUUAUUCAGGAGGAGAACAAAUGAACAAUAAAUACAAUAGGUAGGUUAUGCAAUAGAGGUGUCUGGGCAUGAAGGUCAGAGAAAUUUAGACUGCCAUGAGAAAUGAGGGUAUAUUGGAUAGGAACAUAAAUUUAGCCUUGCAACAGGUCACUUACGGACCCUUCAAAGUUGUUGCAAGGGUUCUCUUGCACUCUUUUUACACCGGAUUCAGGUUUAUAAUUCCCUUUCUGACCAGACGUGGCUGCAAGUUUUUACAUUACACUCAGCCAAACAGACACCUGACUCAAGUGAGGGCUUUACUGCCAGCCAGAGGAAGACUAGUGGUGACCAUACUUCUAUUUCCCAGUCACACUUGGGGUGAUCAAAACUUGAAGUAGUCGCAAAAGCUCCAACCUGAGCAUUUGUCAACAAGUAAUGACAUGUACUGAUGAAGAAUUUGUUAUAUACUGGAUAUAAUUCUUAAGUACAAAUUUAAAAAAUAACACAACCUUUCUGUUAACAAUAGUGUAUUCCACAAAAUGUCUCACCUGUGAUCAUUCCAUGCACCAAAUAUAGUUAGCCUAUUUCUAAUACAUGUAGUAUCAGAAAACAAAACUGACUUAACUAUAAAAACAUAACAUUGACCAAUGAACAAAAUAAAAGAAGUCAAGGUCAGAUAAAAAUUGACAGACAGACAUAUACUCCUUACAACUAUUAUAUACACCAAAUAGAGUUGACCUAUCGCUUAUAGGUUGCAAUUCUGUAAAAAUUGACAAUGCAAUUUCCUAUAGGAACUCCUUUUACGGCCAAAACUGUACCACUUUUACUAAGAAGUUUUGAAAAAAAUCUUAUCCUAGAAUUGAAAGUUCAUAUGCACCACAAUUUUUUUCAAAGGUCAAAAUAUAGGGCUGUGCAGUGUGCAGCAUAUUUUCAAUGUUUAUAUGCCCUGAACUUCUCAGAGUUUAAACUAACACUAAUUAUCUUAACUACCUCCUACCUCGAAUGAAAGGUUACCACAGAUUUCAAUGUAAACAAUAUGCACAUGUAAAUUUACUGGUAACAUUCUCAAGUUAUGUUUCUGUGAGAUGGAACACAGAGAGCAUAACUUGGAACCAGUAUGUAAACAAAAUUUAUUUUCUAUGAAUAUUCAAGUUUUCCCCAAAAGAGGCGUGUUUUGAGAAACAGCUGUAUUUACAAAGUGCAACCUAUUAAGUAUCUGAGAUAUUGGACUUGAACAUGAAAACUUAACCUUGAUCAAUGAUCAAUGAAAUAAGGUUGAGGUCAGGUGAACCUUGUAUGAAAGACAUGAAGACCAUGCUAUAAUCCCAUAAAACAAGCAUGGCUAUCAGAUCACUUUGAUCGUAUUUCAUGGUAAAGCAUGAUAAAUGCAGGAUAUUCCAUAACAUUUAAUGGCAUCAUGAUGUCAGAGAUAAUAUCAGCAUAAAAAUACCAAUAAAGAUUGAAUAUCACAGAACCUGAUUCCUCAAUGAAGAUCAGUCAAAUAAACAGUUUUAUCCAUCAAUAAAAACUUUUCCAAUUCCGAUUCUCAUUCAUCAAUUUAUUAUUGAGAUUAUAAACAUGUUGGUGAAUUGUUAUUUUUUAUAGAAAUUGAUCAGUGUGGUUCUCUUGAGUUGGCAGGGCAUAGCAUUGUUGCAUGUUGUUAUUUGUAACUUGUUUUCUGAUUUAUGUUGGUAUGAGAACAAUUAGUGUUGUUUCAAAUAUGUCUUUUGAUACAAUUUGAUCAAUUGGUUUUCUAUAGGGGUGUAGGAUUACAUUUGUUUUCUUGGUUAAAACAUAAGGUAAUUUGUUUGUUAAUUUUGCCUUAGAUGAUACCGGUAGCUUAAAUGUAUUCAUGGAAGCUUUUAUAAGGGAGACGGAUUUAUAAAAGUUUUUCCAAACUUGUUUCCGAAUCCCAUAUUUGACCUUUAUGUAACAUUGUAAUAUAUCUUUUAAUUCAUUAAUACAUACUGUUUAAACUAAGCUUUUAUAAUGUGUGAUUCAUGUAUCAUGGAAUUGAAAUCAUUAAGGGAUUUGUUGGCAUAUUGUAGCUCUGUUCAUUGUAAAGGUUCCAUGUUAUUGACCAUGAAGUGCAAGAUUGAUUAAUUGAUUGAUGUUUAAAGCCACUUUCAGUACUAAUUUGCUUGAACAUGGCGGUCAGUUUUUAUUAACCACCUUAAAGAAAACUUACAAUCAUAGUCAAUAUGAUUAGAGUGAGUUAAGUGCACCUGCCAUGUGCCAGAUAUGAGCUCACCCCUCAGUUUUGACAGGCUACGUAGUUAUAUAGUAGUUUGACUACUAAGAGACCAUCAUCCACCAAGGCCCCUAAAGGUAUAAGAGCAUUAUUUACGGACUAUCAAGGGGUUGGAUAUAUACUUUUGUUUUUCGUUUAGUUGAUUUAAGAAUAGUUUAAAUUUCUUUUAUGUCUGUGAAUAUAAGUUCAUAUUAAAACUUUAUUUUCUGCUGAAAUAUUUUAUAGCAGAGACUAGUACUUUUUUUAUCUUUCUAAAUAGAAAUUCUUGGAAUUAAAAUGCCUGGAUUUCAUUCAAAUCUACAUGUACACAACUUAGGAAUUAACUUGUUUUCACUUAUAUGACAGAAAAAAUAUUUUGCAAUUGAUUUUUAUUUGCACUGAAUGCAUCUAAGAUCAUCUAAUGCAUUUAAUGCUAAAUCCAUUAAACAUAUCUCAACAAGAUGUUCUUAUAUGUGGAAGACAAUUUCCGUUAUCUUAAAGUAUCAUCUCACUUUAUGAAACAAAAUUCUCAGAAGAACCUAUAAAUAUACCUAUAAUCCCCUAGUAUAAUGAAAUCUACAAAGCAUUAAUGACAUGAUGAUAAAUAUUAUACUUAAUUUAUAGCAUUGUACACGCAUGACAAUUUUCUAUAAUAAUAUGAACUUUUUUUUAUUCUUCAGAUUUCAUUGUUUUGCUGAAGUGCACAUGAUAAAUUUCUACGAUAUUACAAGAGGAUUCUAUAGAUUGUAUUGUUCUACUGAUGAUGUUAUAUGAUGAAAUUCUAUGAUUUAAUGGGUGUUUUUUUUCCCAAUUUAAUUUGUAUUCAUGAAAGCCCUAUUGUGUUGUUCAUAGAAAAUGAGUAGAUUGUUUACAUAGAACAUUGAUUUUACUUAGUUCCAACAAUAAUAUCUGUACUAAUAGACAUAUAAAGUUAUAAAACCUUAUUCAUAAUUCAUUUCACUUUUCUUUGUGUGUUCAAUCAUGUAAAGUUUGAUGAAGUUAUUCCGUAUAUAUUUUAAACUGCAAUCCUGUUGGGAAUGGAAACCGAAAAAUGAAACAUUGACCAACCAACUAUAAACAUGAGGUCAAGGUCAGAUGAACCCUGUAUAAAGACAACAUGAAUACCCUGCAAUUAUUUCAUAAUGGCUCUAUUGCUUAUAGUGUCUGAGAAAUAGACCAAACUGAAAAACUUAACAUCAUUCAAAUUGAGAAUGGAAAUGGGGAAUGUGCCAAAGAGACAACAACCCGACCAUAGAGAAGACAACAGCAGAAGGUCACCAACAGGUCUUCAAUGCAACGAGAAAUUCUCGCACCCGGAGGCGUCCUUCAGCUGGCCCCUCAACAAAUAUAUACUAUUUCAGUGAUAAUGAACACCAUACUAAACUCCAAAUUGUACACAAGAAACUAAAAGUUAAAAUAAUACAAGACUAACAAAGGCUCCUUCAAAUUACAAUAGAUCCAACUUUAUAAGUCAAAUGAAAUACCAUUAUAAUGAGUCAUCAUCGCUUUCAAUAACAGUAGAGUAUAGGUAUGAACCAAUUGCUUGUAGAAGUCACUGAAGGAUAAUGCCAUUCUAGACAUAAGUCUGUAUGGGGAUUAGUAAAGAUAUCAUGAUCAGAGACCCUCUUUUUCAAUAUCUGGAUCUUGAAAUAUAUGCAGGAAGAAUAUAGGCGAAGGCAAUAGAGACAAUUGCUUUAUAAACCUACGAUUUCACCAAACACAAACAAGACUUAAAUGUCAUCUUAAUAUUGGUCAAUAUGAUUGUGUAAACUGCUUUAUUGUACAUCACUCACUCGUAGGAAAUGUCAAAUAUGUCCUCCUAUUGACUAAAUUAAGUCAAACAAAUGUUAAAUCAGCCAUUCACAAUAAAACAUCACUUUACGUCUAAUGUUUAACCAAACAAAAGCUUUAUAGAAUGAUAUUCAUAACAACUUACGUAUCAAACAAGAAAAUCGCAAAUUGUAUUCCUAAGAGAAAUAUAACUCCAGGAAAGCUUAAUGGUAUUUUCAUGUUCAACUCCUGCAGAAAUAAUCUAUAUAAGUCUAUAAAUGUUAUAGACUGUUUGUAGGUAUUAAAUUGGUGCCAUUUAUACAAUCAAACUUAUAACUAUUAGUUAACCAAUUCCAGUAAGAUCUAUUAUGUUGUGAAACAUCUUGUAGUGUUGAUUUUCAUGUUGACCUUGAACUUUGUGUUGAUUUUCAUGUAGACCUUGACCUUUGUGUAAAUCAUAAAGAACCCCCUCAAACUGUGUAAGUACAUUAGUAUUGGCAUGAGACAAAUGGUAGAUAUUUUGUCUUUAAAUCUUACUUGAAAUAAAGAGAUAUUUCAUAAAAUGACAUUGUAAGUAUAGUCAUAGCAUGGUCAUAUUAGCAAUAAAUGGUUUAUCUAAUUGCUAUGGAUGUAUUUUUUAACCAAAUAUUUCCCCUUUUAUAAUAAAUUAUUUGCUACAGCCUUUUAAAACUCUAAUUGAGAAUAAACUCAUCAUAGAUACCAGGAACAAAAUCUUGUACAACAUACAACAGACUCAGCUGUGAUGCUAAAAUAAAAAAAGUCCAAUUAAAGUGUAAAGUUGAAGAUUUAGUGACUAACAUAUGGUGGAUAGCAGAUUUAUUCUUGUAAAAUAAGUUCCAAAAUGGCAGAUAACAAUGGUGAAGGUUUAAUAGAAUUCAAGCUUGGUACCUUGUUUAUUAUGUACCUGAAAUAGUUCCUUCAUCAUAGAUUAAAUUCUAUUCUUCAACAUUUUUGAGGAAUUCUAUAAAAAUUAGUAGCCAAGAAGACCAUAUCACUUAAUAAAUCAAUUUCUUCUGUAGACAUUUUCUGAUUGUUUCUGGAGUUAAUUUCAUUAUGUCUGGUGCUUUGUUGUGAAGAUAUGUCCUAGAAUCUUAUAAAUCAUUAAGAUUUAAUCCACCUCAAGCUAACUAAAAGACAUUUAUUCUUUUCCCCAACACAAGAGGAUUUCUCAAUACAAAUUGUACCAUGUCUCGUAUAUUUUGACAAAUGACUGUGGAAAUAAUUACACCAUUUAACAAUCAAUGAACUAUCUUAAUAUGGCCAAUGUUUAGAUUUUAAGUGGUUGAUUGGCUAUAAAAUAUCAAUUUUGUGACCUUGUUCGACCUUAAAUCAAUACUAUACUUUGCUGCUCUACCAAUGUAAGGAUUAUGAUGAAAUACCAUUUAAGCUGACUUCCUUACUUUGUAUGUGAUGAUGAUCAUGAAAAGUUUGUGAUAACAACACUUGAUUAGUUCAAGGAUUUCUACUGGAAAGAUUCCAUAAGGAUUUCAUAAGGCUUGAUUUUCAGCUUGAUCUCUCAACAAAAGAGCUAAUAAGAGGGCUUAAAAGAGUAUAAAAGUAAACUGGCAUACAAAGACAAUAGAAAAAAUAAGUUUAAUUCAGCAUUGUCCGAAUAAAUAUAUUUAUAUUGCAGCUUAAACAUUUACAACAUAAGACAAAUGUCUAAUUAUAUCAAUAUGUUUGUAUUCAUCUCUAAAGAGUUGAAGUCCUGUUUAAAAGUUUUUUUUUGGCAAGGGACAUAAUUCUUCAAAAUGACAUGCACACUACAUUUGAUUUAACACUGCAUGGUAUCUAAUUUAAAAGUCAAACUAUCUUUGAGAUCCUGGUUUCUCUACCAGCCUGAUUAGAAGGUGUUGGGUUCACUUGUCUCGAUGUUUGAGAUCUUGAGUUAAAAAGAUUUACAUACAAGCACAUAGACAUGUACGGAAGCGUAUUAGCGCCACACAUUUUUUUUUUUUAUUUUUCUUCCUAUGUUUGCGUUAUAACGCAAACCUUUGCGUUAUAACGCAAACCUUUGCGAUAUAACGCAAACCUUUAUAACGCAACCUAGAGUUAUAAUGCAACACAUUACAGUUAUUCAUAUACUUUGUAUAAUGUCCGUGUCAUUCAUUCGGAUUGAUUUACUAGAGAUAAAAAAAGAACUAUACAGCCAAUAUAUAAUAAAUGCAUAGGAAUAAUGGAAAACUUGAAGUGCAAUUAUACAUAAAUCAAGACUGAUUUGUGCAUCAGAAAAGUAUAUAAUUUAACAAGAAACUAGAUAUAGUUUAGUAUUUAGUCAUAUUCAAGUUGAAAGAUCAAAAAUAAUGUCAUACAAUUGCGAAACCUGCAAGUCAAAUAGACAAAAUGAUCUUUCUGCUUUAAAAUGAAUUAUUAAUAAGGAAACAUUUUUUUAAAUCUCAGAAUAUGAUCAAGAUUCUUUGAUAGAAAGUCAUUGAAUUUUCAUUUCAAUAAUGAAGUUUUUGUGCUUGGGUUAAGAGAGAACAAAUUUUAUAAAUAAAACAUUCUAUACAUUUUGCCAUAGCUUGUUUGAAUGUAACCUAUUUUUACACAUUCUCAACGAGAGCUUAACUUGGAAGUAUAUUUAUAUUCGUUAUAGAUUAGCAGGGUGAUUUUUUUUAGUAAACCGCAAUUUUACUCAAUUUUCUUUGUAAUAUUAUACUAUCGAACUUGGAUAUCGUUUUUGGGGAUUUAUAGUUCUGUUAGUGUAGCCAAGCUCCGUGUUGAAGACCGUAAUUCGGCCUAUGUUGUUUACUUUUUAGAAUAGUGACUUAGAUGGGAGUUUCUGGCACUCAUACCACAUUUCUUACUCAUUAUUAGUCAUUGAUAUGAUUAAUAAAGCAGUUUACUUUGCAUUACUACAAAGUGAUAAAUUUUAUUAUAUCCAACUCCUCCAUUAAUAACUACUGUUUCCUUUGAAUCUGAAUAAGAAUAGAAAACAAAUAAAUCGCAAUUUGCUUUAUUGCUAUCGCAAGGUUUGCGUUAUAACGCCACAGAAGAAAAAAAAAAAAAAAAUGUGUGGCGCUAAUACGCUUCCGUAGACAUGUAUUAUAAUUAUAUACAUUGUUGAGCUAGCCAGGACAAUACAAAUUUGACCCAGCAUGUCAGUCUACAAAGUAUAAAGCAGGACUCUUAACUAUUCAAUGUUAUCAUCAAAAAUAAGGUUGAAAGAUUAUUAAGAAAUCCAUAAUUAUUGGACUAUCUCUGUGAAAUGAUAAUUUAGUCUGUCUUAACAAGUUGAAUUGGGUCUCAGAAACUAAAUAAAAAUAUCUUCAAUGUAAAACAUUCCCACAGUACAGCAGCAUGUUUAAAUUCAUAUAUAAUAAUACCCUAAAUAAUAAGUACAUCAGUCAUUUACAACUUCAAAAAUAUCUUAUAUAAAAGCCACAAACAGCUCUAAGGAAAACUGAAAAUAAAUUCUACUUUCCAUAUAAAAGAUAAAUAUAUAGAAACUGGAUUGCAGUAUGUGAUUAAUGUUUGCAUCAUCAAUAUUAAAUAUCUAACCUAUUUUCAAAAGAUCAAUUCUACAUCAGAUAAAACUGUUAUUUCACUGUUAUUUCACUCUGAACUGAAAUCAAUCCAAUUUCAAUUAACGAAGAAUGAUUAAGUCGGGUCUGCUUUCAAUAUAUUUUAAAACAUAUUUUAUAGAUUUAUACUCUUUUAUUUACCAACUAAACAUAUCUAUCAAAAUCUCAUGUUGGUCUCUUUUAAAGAUAAAAUGGUCAAAUUCAGCACUUUGAAACACUUGCACCUGAAUAAGUACAUAAAACAACAGCUAUACAGAGGUUUACAUAAUUAAGUUACAAAAUAGAGGGAGGAGAUACCAAGGGGCAAAUCAAAAUCCAUAAUUUAAAUAAAAGCAGAAAAGCUCAUGGCCAAAAAAAAAAAACAAUAUAUAAACUGUUGACACAGAGAUAUGUCUUGCUUGUCAGCAUAAAAUUUUAAAAAAGACGAUCUGAUGAACAUUUAUCUAAUUUACUAUCAAAUAAAGACUAAAUUUUUGCUCUUUGGUUGGGUUGUUGUCAGUCUGUUUGACACAUUCCCCAUUUCCAUUCUCAAUUUUAUCAAAAUGGUAAAAUCUAGAUUGGAAAAAUACUAUGCCUUUAUAGUCUACUUUUUUUCCCAUUCAUAUCUUGAAUACGUAAUUGUCAACAAUUGCUUUCAACAUUUAAUGGACAAGUUAUGAUUAAAGAAAAGGGUUGGCUUACAUAUUUGAGUUAUUCAUCAAGUAUAUCCUUACAAAUACUUUUGAUUAUUUUCUGAAAUUGCGUGUCCAGGAUAAAUCCAUCAUGUAUCAAUGCUUGUAAUAUUAAAUUAAAUUCUGGUCAUAACCAAUCAGCUUAAAAUUCUACGUCACUACAAGACAGGAGCUUAAAAAUUGAUCAGAGAUAGUAUGGAGAUCAAAGUAAGAAAGUUACUGUAAUCAUCCAUUAGAAACACCCUUAUCGAUGUAAAUGAUCGUAAAUGGCAAAUCCAAAACAACAAUGGACGUGCUACUUUAUACUAGCAACUGCUUUGCUCACCUUAUAAAAAAAGUGCCAUUUUGAUAUUACAUUUAAUUUUUUAACUUUAAAAAAAAAAAAUCUUUUCCCUAACAUAAUGUCCUUCAGUGUUAAGAUAACAUUAUUAUUUAGUAAAAAUAAUAAAAAAGAUAUUUAGAUUUUUUUUUAUGUUUUAAUGCACUUUUAAGCACCACUUUUGGGUUAUUUCAUGGGCGGCUAAUUUUUAUUGGUGGAGAGAGCUGGAGUGCCAAGAGAAAAACAUGACCGUUGAUAGGAUUAUUGACAAUUCUUGUUAAUUAAGUUUGGAGUCAAGUGCACCUGCAAAAGCGGGGUUCAAAACUCACAACCUCAGUGUUGACUAGCUAGUGAUUAAAGCAGUAACUACUAAGACCACUCGUCCACCCAGGUCCCCCAAAAGAUAUUUGAAAGCCCUCACCCAAAACACUACUCCAUUUCAAACUGCCUUUCUCUCAACAUUCAUCACAAUAGUUAAUACUGCUGAUUUAUAUUGGUAUGUUGAUCAUUUCUUUUCCAAAAAAAAGAAUGAAAAAAAAUCAUAUUUAAAAUUCAUAAAAUUAUCAAUAAGGGGAAAUAACUCCAAUAAGUAGUUAUAACUGUCAAUUUCAGUCAUGUGAUAAAAUUAAUAUCUUGCCUUGACAAUCAUUUUUUUUGCUUCUUUUUACAGUCUAAAAGAAAAAAGGCAAAACACUUAACUUAGUCAGAAAACAACUUUUUAGAAAUUUAACUCAUAUAAGGAAGCAAUUGAUGGUUUUGGUCAACCCAACUUGUUUUUAUAGAUUGUGUAUUUUUAAUAAUUUUUGCUGUUUAUGGUUUCUGUCUAGCUAAUAAUAGAUAAAAUGCUAAAAUUAGUCAAAAAUUGUUAUUUAUUUGCAAUUACCACUGUAAGUAGUCAAUUGAUCAUUUCUUACAUUCACAUUUUUGUAUAUUUUGUAUUGCUAAUCACUUUUUUCUGUUUACAGUUUCUCCAUCAUUUAUAAGUUUUCUUUAUAUAAAUAUAGCAUUUAGGAAGUUGUAUGAUGACUUUGAUGGGAAAAGUUUAGUGGGGGUCGAUCUUGACAUUCUAAAUAUGUGUUCCCUGAUAGAUUUUCUCUAUCGAAUAUUGUUUUAGAGAUAUUUUUCAAUGAAUUUCAUUUCACUUUUUACCCUAUAUCUAUGGUCAUGUUGGUUGAUUGACAAGAACAAAAAAGACAAGCUUUGUCAUAUGACCUUUUGAAUCAUUCAGCCCAAGUUUGGGUGAAAUUUGUACUGAGGUUUCAGAAAUGAUGAUUUUUUUUUAAUGAAAGUGAUGACAAUGGAAGAUAUUACAAACAACAAUGGAAUCCAUGUGAUGAUCAUAUCAAAGUUAAAGACAAUUGUUAUAUAUAUAUAUAAAUGUAUAUUAUCAUUAUAAGUCCAAAGAGACAUUAGUCUUUGUGUGGGUGUUCUAAUAUAAUAUUAUUGUAAAUAGAAUUUAUUGUUGUAGCUAAUUAACUUUUCUACAAGAAAAAUUCCCUUGAUACAACAAACUGACUAUAGGUAUAUCUAUCACAGAUUCACAGUGAACACAGAAAGAUAAUCAAAAUCUAUAAGCAUAUCUAUCACAGAUUCACAGUGAACACAGAAAGACUGACUAUAGGCAUAUCUAUCACAGAUUCACAGUGAACACAGAAAGAUAAUCAAAAUCUGUCAAAGAAAGACAGGUCGAACUUUGAAGGAAAAAGAUGACAAACAACAGUCUUUAAAGAAUCAAACUUUUGAGCUACAAACCAUGAGUGUACCACGAGAAAAACAAGUGUAUCCUACUAAAACAUGAGUGUACCAUGAGAAAAACUAGUGGCACCUACCAAAACACUAUGGGUGUACCAUGAGAAAAACUAGUGGCACCUACCAAAACACUAUGGGUGUACCAUGAGAAAAACUAGUGGCACCUACCAAAACACUAUGGGUGUACCAUUUGAAAAACUAGUGGCACCUACCAAAACACUAUGGGUGUACCAUGAGAAAAACUAGGAGCACCUGCCAAAACACCAUGAGUGUACCAUGAGAAAAACUAGUAGCACCUGCCAAAAACAAUGAGUGUACCAUGAGAAAAACUAGUGGCACCUACCAAAACACUAUGGGUGUACCAUGAGAAAAACUAGUGGCACCUACCAAAACACUAUGGGUGUACCAUGAGAGAAAAACUAGUAGCACCUGCCAAAAACAAUGAGUGUACCAUGAGAAAUACUAGUGGCACCAACCAAAACGCCAUUAGUGUACCAUGAGAAAAACUAGUGGCACCUGCCAAAAAACCAAGUGUAACAUGAAAUAACUAGUGGUAUCUGCCAAAAACCAUGGGUGUACCAUGAGAAAAACUAGUGAAUGGUACCUGCCAAAAAUCUAUGAGUGUAUCAUGAGAAAAACAAGUGGCACCUGCCAAAAACCAUGAGUGUACCAUAAGAAAAACUAGUGGACCCUUCAAAAAACCAUGAGUGUACCAUGAGAAAAACUAGUGGACCCUACUAAAAACCAAGAGUAUACCACGAAAAAAAUUAUUGGCACCUACCAAAAACCAAUAGGGGUACCAUGAGAAAAGCUAGUGGCACUGGCCAAAAUCUAUGAGUAUACAAUAAGACAAGAGUGCACACACUGAAAUGUCUCGCCUUCUUUACUAAUCAUUGAUAUUAUGUUGAUACUCCUAAAUAUAAAGCUUUAUUACAACUGUCACAUAAACUUAACAUUAACCAAGAAAACUAAACAUUGAUCAAUGAACCAUGAAAAUGAGGUCAGGGUCAGAUGAACCAUAUGCCAGGCAGACAUGUACAGCUAUCAAUGCUUCCAUAAAACAAAUAUAGUUGACCUAUUGCUUAUAGUUUAAGAAAAUAGACCAAAACACAAAAACUUAACACUGAGCAAUGAACAGUAAAAACCAGGUCAAGGUCAAAUAAAACCUGCACGACUGACAUAUAGAUUAUAAAAUAUUUCCAUACACCAAAUAAAGUUAACCUAUGACAUAUAGUAUUAGAUAAAAAGACCAAAACUCAAAAACUGAACUUUGACCACUGAACCAUGAAAUGAGGUCAAGGUCAGAUGACUUCUGCCCGCUAGACAUGUAUACCUUACAAUCAUGCCAUACAACAAAUAUAGUAUACCUAUUGCAUAAAGUAUGAGAAAAACAGACCAAAACACAAAAACUUAACUACAACCACUGAACCAUGAAAAUGAGGUCAAGGUCAGAUGACACCUGCCAGUUGGACAUGUACACCUUACAGUCCUUCCAUACACCGAAUAUACUAGACCUAUUGCUUAUAGUAUCUGAGAUAUGGAUUUGACCACCAAAACUUAACCUUGUUCACUGAUCCAUGAAAUGAGGUCGAGGUCAAGUGAAAACUGUCUGACAGGCAUGAGGACCUUGCAAGGUACACACAUACUAAAUAUAGUUAUCCUAUUACUUAUAGUAAGAGAGAAUUUAACAUUACAAAAAAUCUGAACUUUUUUUUCAAGUGGUCACUGAACCAUGAAAAUGAGGUCAAGGACAAUGGACAUGUGACUGACGGAGAAACAUGAGGCAUCUAUAUACAAAAUAUGAAGCACCCAGGUCUUCCACCCUCUAAAAUAUAUAGCUUUUAAGAAGUGAGCUAACACCGCCGCCGCCGCCGUAGCCGCCACCGCCGCCACUGCAGCCACCGCCACCCCGGGUUCACUAUCCCUAUGUCGAGCUUUCUGCAACAAAAGUUGCAGGCUCGACAAAAAACUAGUGGCACCUGCAAAAAAAAUGGGUGUACAAUUAAAAACUAGUGGCACCUGCGAAAAACCAUGAGUGUACCAUGAGAAAAACUUGUGGACCCUACUAAAAACCAUGAGUGUACCAUGAGAAAAACUAGUGGCACCUACCAAAAACAAGAGUGUACCAUAAGAAUAACUAGUGGCACUGGCCAAAAUCCAUGAGUAUACCAUAAGAAAAACUAGUGGCAGCUGCAAAAUAACAUGGGUGUACCAUAAACCAGAGGCUCUUAAGAGCCUGUGUCGCUCACCUUGGUCUAUGUGCAUAUUAAAAAAAUUACACAGAUGGAUUCAUGACAAAAUUGUGUUUUGGUGAUGGUGAUGUGUUUGUAGAUCUUUAUUUACUAAAAUUCUUGCUACAUACAAUUCUCUAUCUAUAAUAAACUUAACCAAAUUAAUGAAAAUUGUUAAAAAUUGACUAUAAAGGGCAAUAACUCCUUGAGGGGUCAACUGACCAUUUUGGUAAUGUUGACUUAUUUGUAGAUCUUACUUUGCUAAACAUAUUGCCUGUUUACAGUUUAUCUCUAUCUAUAAUAGUAUCUAUAUAGAACAAGAGUCAACACCGCUGAAAUGUCUCGCCUUCUAUACUAAUCAUUGAUAUUAUGUGAUAUCCUAAGUAAAAAGCUAAGCUUUAAACAACUGUACCAUAACUUAAAUUAACAAAUACUAAACAAAGACCAAUGAACCUUGAAAAUGAGGUCAAGGUCAGAUGAACCAUUGCCAGGCAGACAUGUACAGCUACAAUGCUUCUAUACAACAUAUAUAGUUG
rnacentral:lncRNA from 1 species